rnacentral:lncRNA from 1 species
GGCACAGUGCUUUUGGCAUAAAUAGCAGUGCAUGCCUUCCUCAGUAUGCCUGAGCCAGGUAAAUUGAUUGAGCCAUUGCUUGUCAAAGCCACUGGCUCUGUGUUUUUGAGAAAAUCUGGAAAGAGGAAUAAAAACCACGUACACGUUGGCUUUGCGUUGUUAUGCUCCUAAUUGGAAACUAAUUAAUUAAUUACCCUCGCCUCGCCGACUCGUCCUGUCCUGCAUUCUGACCCUCGCGAUCACCAGUCCCUUGUGAAGUACUUUCAGACCUGACACAAAUUUCCACGUUGUCACCACUAUGAAUUAUAGCAUUUUAACUGCCUAUUACGUUUUUUCUCUGCUGUGUUUCACCUGGACUCUUGACUUUCCUCCUUGCGAGGUCGCUUUUUAAAGUACUGGCUGAUUUUGCCUGUCAUAUCUGCAACGCUAAAAAACGGAGGAAACUUUUUUUUAAAUAAACACGUCAUGCUUGGAUGCAAAAAAGACAAGCAGUAUUUACCUGUUUGUACCAUCCGCCAGGGAAAAUCAGGACGCCGAUAGCACCAACUAGCGGGAAAAAAACUUGAAAAAACAUGAUUCGAUCCGUUUCUUCUUCGGUAGAGGCUUCAGGUCUUUCCGGUGCACUGCUGUUGAUAUAGCGCCUCUAUAGUGGCGCAACGCUGCAACUGCAGUUAAAAUACGUUGCUGCAGCAGAGGGACAUCAUACACUCAAUCAACACAGCUGGAGCUUUACGCUGUGUUGAGCGAAAUCAAUCGCUCUGGCCGGGGGCGGCACAAAAUUAGGUGGAGGCGGCCGCCAUGCAAUUUUGAACGCAGGAAAAACCCUGUAAAGAAUAUAAUGACUGUUACUGUAGGGGACAUAAUUCUUCUUCUUAAACUGUUUCUGUGGCGGAAAGUUUAAUAUUUUUAAAGACCAUAUGAAGACUUAUUUCACUCAUUCAAAGGAAAAAAAAAAGAAGAAAAAAAUACUUCUGUUCUUGUGAAAAUCUCAAAAACCAACAAAGAGGAUUGCCUAGCUGUAUAAAUACAUACUUGACAGCUUCGACUGGAUCCAGAGCCAUGUAAUCGUGGGGUUUUUUCAAAGGCGAUGUUUCACUAUCGUAAGUAAACAAGAAGAAAUUUUUUUCUUACAAGAUCCUUUUAAUGCAGAGGAAAGAUCAAAAUAUAAAAGAUAAAAAGCAAAGAUGUGACUGAAGUACUUUAAGUGCUAAAAUGGACAGUGAAAAAGCCCAAGUAGAUAAACAAGCUAACCUUGGUCAGGUAUUAUCGCCAUGGCGCUGUACAAGAUGGAUGCCUCUCCAGUACCUCUCCAGUGCUUAGUACUUAAAACCUUUAGACCUAUUUUUUCAUCUCCUUGUCAUCUUUUUUUUUUCUUUUUUUCUGUCUUCUUACAGUGACAUAAUUUCCUUGUUUUUGCUUUUUCUCCUCUUGAUGUGUUUUUAUACUUUUUCAAAGGGCAUUAAAUUAAAUAAAUAAACAUCUUUCAACAACUCAAACUUCAUUUGUCCCUUAUUCCAUCUGUGAGCAUGGGGAAUGUAAACUUGCUGCCAAGCAAGAGGUGGAGGUGGAGGCUGUAGGCUCGUACAAGUACCAUGGACAAUAAGCUGGACAGCAAGCUUCUUUCCUUUUUUUUUUCUUCCUGUUGCUGCUGGAAUUUUAAUUUCCUUGCGGGAACCUUCCCAAAAGGAUCAAUAAAGUCUAUCUAAUCUAAUCUAGGUCAACAGAUAAAACCAAUUGUGUGAUCUGAAAGGAUUCAAAACCCAUCAGGCGUUUACCAUUUUCCUCUUUGAAAGCUCUGUAAUGGGUUUUUGAUUUGUAAAAGAAAUUGGAGUUAUUUUUUUUUGGCUAAGAAGUUUUACAAAACUUGUUUGAUGUUUGAUUACUUCUGCUGUUCUCUAUUUCAUGUCCUUGAGUGUUUUUUCUUGUCUUUGGAUGGACUCUAAUAAAGGCUUUUGAUACAGUAAUUACUGAUAGAUCCUCUGCUUUGCACCUUAUUUUGGCAUUUCCCUACUACUCCCUGCUACUUCGUGAUGAUUGCAAGUUACUGUACUGAGUGAAAGUACGAAUGCUCAAUUAAUUUGUAACUUGCAGAGGCACAAGCUGCAAUGUCACAUUUUGAUCUUUAAAACCCCUGGAAUUUUUGUUCUUAAAAGCACCCAUUUAUCUCUUAGAGAGGUAUUACAAGCCACCUCACAGUCUGGUGCUGCUUCUUGGUCUCUCCUCUACUUGAUGAGAUGGAGCAACCAGCAUAAAGGACCUUAGCUCUGAACUCAUGGUAUUACCAUUUGCUUAUUUUAACCACAAUGCAAGCAUUGGUUCAUCAGAGAGUAUCAGAGUAUCAUGACAGCCCUAUUUUCAACAUAACUAAAACACUUGUUUUACUGAGGUCACAGAUUCUAUCCAUCUUUCUACUGAUAAAAACAAUUCUACUCAAAUAGGCAAGAAAAAUUGUCUGCUGGAAUUUCACCACUAUCUAAAUCUAUCCUGGCUGCAGUCCAAUACAGCAGAGAACCUUAAGACAGCCAAGAGCCUCAGAGUUCACCAAUACUGUACUUCAGGGUGAGUCAAUGACCCCGAAGUGUAUCUGGUGAGAUGGAGAAACUUUUCUUGAACAGAGGGCAGGAAAAUAGGAAAAUUCAUGGACCUUAAUUUUAACAACCUCCAAGAAGGUUAAAUAAAUGGUUAUGAUUAAGACGCUUGCUGGAUCAUCACUGUAACUGGAAUCUAUUUGAAGUCAUCAUAAUAAAAAAUAAUAAUAAUAAAAAAAAUAGUUGAAAAAAAAAGUUGAAAACACAAAUUGCUUGGAAAAUGUGUUUCCUAAUGUGUACUGGUUUGUUUUAUCCAUCCUUUUAAUUUCUUCACGGUUGACAGAAGCUCCAGUCAGUCGAGUUAUUUCCCUGAUAAACCAAAGGACUUAAGGGGGAGCGCUUAGUCUUCAUGUUUAAAGCUUGAAACACUAAAAACCCUGAAUUUUUUGCAGAUUUGAAAAUUUGCACCACCACCUCUGCCAGUUGAUGUAAAAAGCUGACAAGCAAAGCAGACAUGUUUUGGACAGUCAGUUCUGGGCUGCAUCUUACUCCGGUUUAUUGUCACUGCAGUGGGAGGCUGAGCCUGCUGGUCAUUUUCCCUCUCUCAAUUUUGUUGUUGGGGACUCUUGGCUGACUAAGUGCUCCAAAUGGAUUCGGCCUCUUGCCAGAGUCCCUCUCUUCCUUUCUUUCUUCCUUUCUUUCUUUUUUUCUGUGUCUCUGUGGCUCACUCUUACAGCUUUUCGUGCGUUGUGACGUAAAAUCGGACGAGUGCAGACAAAAGAUGAUAGGGGAUGGGUGCCAAAAGGAGUACAGUCACUGACAGUGACAUUAGUGGUUACAAAACAGCUUCAAAAUAUAACCACUUUUGGAAAAGAGAGAGGAUUUUCAGGAUCAGGCUGGGUAUAUUUUUGCCAACACUUGAUAAGGAGAUUUACUAGCAUGUAUUUCCCACUCUAUAAACUUAAACUGAAGGCCAUUCUGUGGUCAGCGCACAUCUGUGCCUGUUUAUGAGUCCUGGAAUCGCUUCACUCUCUUUCUCGCUCUCGGAGCAAGAAAAUGAAAGGCGAUGGUUGAGCAGGAGACUAAAGGAUGUAAAAGUUAAACUGCCUGCUGAUAUUUUUACUGCCUGUCUGUGUUCCUCUGUGAUGUGCUGGGAGCUGCUGCCAAUGUAAGCUUCCAGUUCGACAAACGUGGGCGUCCCAGACCUCCCUCGUCUGCUUAAAUGUGUGCAAAAAAAAGUAAAGUAAGAAAGUACAAGGUGAAGAGAAAAGGACACAAGAGGAGGUUAGGAAGAAAUAAGGAUUAAGGUGUUUUGGAAAUAAGUUGUAUUCAGGGUAUUAAGGGAAUAGUUGCACAACAAGCCGAUUUCUCUGAAUAUUUACUCUGUGAGCACCUACUUUAUACCGCUUCUGGCUCUUAUUUUUCAGCCAUAAUGCCUUUAUUUAGCCCUCCACACACAGCUCAAAUAGACACUUGUAUUGAUUAGCUUUUAAUUUCGGUGUUUUGGUCUUAUCUUCUUGGCAGUGUUUGGACAAAUGCCCUAAAUCAUCCAGCACAUAUUCCAGGUGGUCCACAUAUCUGCAUGACGCAAACGUCCAUACUUGAUUGGAUUUUGUUAUCUCUGUAAUUGUUUUAAUCAGCCAAUCACAAUUAGCCUCCAGGAAAAAUAGACAGAGUGGAAAAGGAAAAGAAAGGGAGACAGAAGGGGGAGGGUUGAGUCCAUUACUGGUGUAGCAUAUCUUUGUGGUACUUGAUUCUCAUUUCGGUAAAUUGAAGAAACUGGGCCAAACAAAAAAGCUUAGUUUGAGGUCAGCAUGUGCAGACGCACUGAAGGUUUCUUUUUCUUUUUCUUCCUCCUCAAUGGGUAAUCACCCCAAGCUGUCUAUCAGGCAUCCAAUCUCAUCUUCUUCCUUAACAAAUGAGCCCGUUCAAUACGAAUGUCCUCUAAGGAAAAUAAAGGAGCUUCACCAUAAAGUACAGACCACUAGGGAGAUGAACAUUUUUUCCAAUACAGUUAAAAACUGCUUCAAUCAGCAGUAAGACUUCUUUGUCUUUUAUAGGGUGAAAAUGGUGAUUUGAGUCCGAAUUGGCACAGAAUAUUAAUAAAUGAUGAGCAGUGAGAGUUAGCAUGCAGCGGAUGGCUCCUUUAUUCUCCCUUGCCAUGCCAAAAUAGUUCUAUACGUUCAAAUCAGCAUAAUCCUCGCAGCCCUUAUUCGUCCAUGUGGCCUUUAAGUUGCAGAAGAGUACAGAAUGACCUCUUUCAGUUUGGGGAUUUCCAGUAUGGACACUCUUAAACUUUAUGAUUUUUUAUCAUCCUGCCGUGAUCAUUCCUUCACUCAUGGGUGCACUCAAGCAAAGUCACCUCUUCUGAACAGAUAGUGCACUUGAUUAGAUCUUUUUUUUUUUUUCUGCAGUCAAAACGGAGAAAGAAGAAAAAAGAUUAAAGAGGUGAAAAACAAAGAAAAUAAGAGUGUAUGUCUUUAAAAUUUUGACCCCUGAAGGAGCUUUAUCGGUGAGCCUCGAGUUACCCGAGGGUGUGCAGCAGCUUAUGAGGCUCUCUCAAAAGAAAAAAAAAAGAAUAAAAAAGGCAAAUGCUUACUUAAUCGUCUAUUUCAAACUCACCGGAGAAUAAUAAAUUACAUGAAGUUUCCUUUGAGUCAACCUCUUACAUGAAUUUGUUCAAAUUCUGUCUUUUGUUUGAAGCUUAGAUAUUAUGUUGGCAGGAGAAGUACUUCUGAAGCUAUAAUCCAUCACUGUAGGCUCUGCAGUGCCUUUUUAUUUUAUGUAACAUUUGUUGAUUUUCUUAAUACUCCAUUGAUUUAUUCUUCAGUUUUCCAAGAAGGAUUAAAUGGACUGAGAUGCAAGACGAGGCGUAGUCAUUAUUGCAUAUUAUUCUGAAUCACUCUGCAAGGUGGGAGGGGAAAAUAUGUGCAGCUUAAGUGCAGUUUAAGAAAUAAUUCUGCUGUUAUUUCAACCUUGAAUGUUGUCUUCCAUUGGCAUUUUGCUCACUUAGCCACUUUUCUUUAAGUGCUGGUCCAAGUUUGAAUAAAUAAAUAAAUAAACUACUGGGUAUUUCUGCAUUUACUUCCUUCAAACGUGGUUAUAUUUCAUAAAUGAGUACUCUGACACUGAUUUGGGUUGUGCUUUUCCUAAUCCGGUGAUAAAGUUUUACAGCCUGAUAAUUUAUUCCAGUGGUACAUUAGGUUAUUGCUUUCUGGCCGUGGAAGCCAACAUUUGAAGUCUUUUGGCAUCUCAAUGUGACUGAUACUAAAGUGAAAACAGCAGAAAAAUGAUCAGUCUUCACUGGUCAGUCCAUUAAAUCACAUACAAACCACAAUUCCAAUAUAGCUGGGCCUGGGACGUUGUUCAAAGCGUGAAUAAAAAAAAACAGAAUACAAUGAUUUGCAAAUCUUUUUCAACCUAUAUUUAAUUAUAUUCACUACAAAAACAAGAUAGUCAAUAUUCACACUGAUAAACUUGUUUUUAUGAAGCUAUAUAGUCAUUUUCAAUUUUAAUACUUAUUUGAGGUGUUGAACGAUAGCCAAUGUGGAAGUGCCAAAAAAUUGCUGUUCCUUAGGUCGAGACCUGAAGGGGGAUCCAAUCACUGUUUUUCAGUGUUGAAAUAACCAGCUCAGUGACAGCUUUUUGCCUACUUUUUGGUUGACUGCAUUGAAAGUUUCAAGAUAUUAGAAUUUCAAACAUGGUGAUCUCCAUUUUUUGCCCUUCAAAUGUGAAGUUUUUUCUAAUGUUCCUGGUAUUCAUACCAUGCUUUGGGUUCCUAAGUUCUUAGAAAAUGUCAGUUUUGAUUGGGCCUCCAGAAUCUAGGCUAAAGCAUGGAGUUAACCUGACCCUCAAAUCUGUACAAAGACUUUAUUUCACAACAAAUAAUAGUUAAAGAUCAUGGCUGGUUAUGUGAAAGAACACAAACUAAUUCUCUGCUAAAUGUUUCUUUUCUUUCUUUUUCUUUCUCUUUCUUUCUUUCUUUCUUUCGUUAGUUCGUUCGCUCAACCCAACUAUCCGCCCAUUCAUUAAUUCAAUUAUUGUCCAUGAAUCUGUUCAUCCAAUAUACAUCCAAUAAAUCAUCUAUGAAUUUAUUAAUCCAUCCUUGCAUCCAUCCACACAAACAUACGUACAUUUUACCACCCCCCAUUCAUCCAUUCAACUGUUGAUGAAUCCUUUUUUUUAAUUAUUCAUCAAACCAUCCUUUCAUCCAUCCAUCUCCUUGGCUUUAGUUUUAUUUUAUUCGUACAGCACUGCGGAAAUUCGCACUCCACUUGCAUUCCGUGUCCCUUGGGUUUUUCAGAUAUACCUGUACUGAUAUCUCUUCGCAGGUCAUCCUGGAGUAGAUUAUUUUGGUCUUUGCUUUAAAGCCGAGCACCUGUUGAAUUGUGUUUGUAAUGUAAAUUGACUUUAUCGCUGUUGUCAAAAACAAGUAAGUGUCUCAUCCAUUUCUGCAUAACUAAAAGCAUUCAAAUGUAGUCUGUUUUUCCAUCAAGUGAUAGCAAAGAGUCUCCUUAGUAUCAGGCGCAAAGGCCUGUUAAGGACUGUUAAGUAUGUGGUCUCUUUACUCUAAUGGAAGCAGAAUAUUCAAGGACUGGAGGCAAUGACUCCUCCAUUGGCCCCCCGCCAACUACAUCAAGCUAUAAAGGACUAUUUGCUCACUUACUGCACUGCAGACAAUGCUUGGCAUCUAUCGCUUCGUCUGCCAUAACUCUUUUUUAUGUUAUAUUGUACCCUCCACUCUCUCUCCUUUUUUGUUUUCCCCACCUUACACCACCUUUUCUCUUAAGCCAGAUAUCACACACCAUCAGAAAAAGCAUAGAUGAUGUUCAGAGAGAUAUCAAAGGUAGAGAUAGUGUUUGAAAGGAUCUAGGUGGGUGUGGGCAAAGUGCUUGCGAAGGCACAAUUUUUUGUUUGGCUGUUGUCCUCUGAUUCAGGUCUAUAUCAUAACUGCAGGUCAUAUAUUCUGCUUUAUCAUUUCAGAGGGAAAACCGGCUACUCCUCAUAUUUCUUAAAAAACCUCCACUCCUCCGCCUGCAUCAGAGCACAGAAAUGUGUGCAAUUAUGCAGCUCACAGCUCCUUCCUCUUCGCAAGCUGAGAGUCAGAUCAAUGAGGACACAGAGAUCACAAGAGCAGACAGGUUGGGGAUGUUGGUCGGCUCAGAUAUGGAUCAACUUUAACUUGGCAUGUACCAAAUAAAAUGCCAGUGGGGGUAUCGGGAUGGAGAAACCCUGCAAUAAAUCAAUCUGGGCCCUGCGUGCAUACUGCAAUCAAGAGAGGCUGAGCAAGGUAGGGGGGCAAGGUGGUGAAAGACGAAUCGAUCAGCAGAGAUGAUCUGAGAGGAAAGAUUUCUUUUCGUUUUUCGUCUUGCUCUCAUAGACAUGAAUAUACGGCAGCACACACAUGCAACAGCACAAUAAACAGCAGGUAAAUGGAGCUGUAUCAAACCUCUCUGUGUGUAUCGAGCUUCUACGUUGCAUGUGUCCCUGCAUGUAGUACAAAGUCAACAUGAGUUUAGAUUGGAUGCUGUGUGUGUGUGUGUGUGUGUGUGUGUGUGUGUGUGUGUGUGUGUGUGUGUGUGUGUGUGUGUGUGUGUGUGUGUGUGUGUGUAGUACACUGUCAACAAGAGUCCUGAUAGGAAAAGGAGGAGAAAGCCAUUAGAGAUAGGAGCCCUGGUCUGAGGCGGCGUCUAAUGCAAGGCCACUCAGCCAGUCAACCAGAGCCUGCUUAUCGUGUCAUGGGUACACAAAGGCAACAAGCACACACACACUCAGACACACUCAAACACACACACUUAAGCACAUCCCAAAUUUCUCCCCAGGCUAUCCAUGCGGCCUCUUUGUCUGCACAUAUAUAAAAGGGUUAGGGGAGGAAUUGUUAAAUCAGAUGCGAACGCAGUCAAAUACACAAGUGAAAGUCAGUAAUAAAAGUUCCACUGAAGUUAUUUGUUUUUAUUUCAUAUUUUUAUUCUUUUACUGCGACCCUGCAGACUUUCAAACAUUAUCGCUGUAAUAAGUCACAACCCAUACAAGUAUAUGGACAUCAGAUCAUCCACAAAUUCAGUUUUAUACUCAGUCCUAUCAGCAUUCUGGAUCAUAUGCAGAGGUUUGCAUGUGCAUGCAGGGAGGCCUACCAGUAAGGAGUUACUUUGAUAUUACAAGAAUCUGUACCAGGAGCAUGUGGUGCUGGAGCUCAGUUCAAACAGCCAUGCCUUGGGUCAUUUCUUACACCCCUUGCAGCACAAGUGCCAAAACAUACAGGAAUUAACUUUAUCUAUAUGCAAUAACAUCAAUCCAUCAAUAUAGAUGAAUGGGCGGGCUUUAGUCAAGUCAAUUUUAUUCACAAAGCAGCUUUAAGAAGACAGCAGACAAACAAAGUACCAUACAUAAAAUAAAUAGAUAACAAUAAGACAAUAAAAUUAAAAACAGUGGGAUAAAAUAUAGACAGUGAAAGAAUAAAAGCUACAGUGCCUAUGAUUCAUGUGUGCUCAUUUAGAGAGUUUUAUCUCAGCUAUGGGCUGUGAAACCAUCACUGAUAGAGUUAUAGAAUUGUAUAACAGAGCCUCAGACACAAUAAAGAACUUGCCACUUCACUGAUGACUCCUUUGUGGACAGAGGCCAGUAUGAGCUGGAUUUGCAAUGGAGUUGUUGCUGAAACCUAAAGCUGUUCUAUCAAUAAAGACUUUUCAUAAAGGCUUGCAACCACAAACUUUGAGUUUGAAACUAUCAUAUCAAUGACUAACAAAUGGUACCAGAGCUAAAUGGGGAGGUAAUGUAGGAGAUAACAGCGAUCCUCUGCCAGUAUAAGAUAAAUAAUGAGUUUUUGAAGCUGCAAAUGAUGCAAAAUGACUUAAGAUAAGAUAUACUUUAUUGUCCCGGAAAGAAAUGCAGGUAGACUGUAUCGUAUGUUGACAUACAGUUACUUCAAAGUGUCCCUGACUGGCAUAAUUAAAGGUGAAAAUGAAUAUAACAGGUCUCUUAGGUUGUAUUAUUGUACUAUUUGUCUUUGUGUGAAUAUUGACAGAACCUAAACUCAUAACAACAGAUGUUUAAUCAAAGUUCCCAAGACUUUCAAAGUGGCCGCAGAUGCACUGUUUACUGACACAUAUCCAACUGCACUGGCUGUACUUCUUUGAAAACAUAUUCUGCCCUCCCACCUGAACAAAUGCCAAUGAACCACCCACAGUGACAGUGAUAAGGACAAAGAUUAUCACCGACAUGGAGCAGUGGUUUAGUGUAGAAAAAAAAAGGCAUUUAUAACGCUGAACAAAGCAAGUUAUCUGGAUCUGUGCUUCCAUAGCUGUGUUCAUUUGAAAAGUGGACAAAAACAGAAGGUGCAGUCAGUUGAAACAAGUGAGUGUAUCAGGACACACUGGGUCCAGAGUUGGACAAUCCCGUGAUCAGCAAAUUCACCAACAGGCAAGACAAGGACGGCACUCUGCUUCAUCAAAAUGACAUGUUGAUGUGUGAACAAGAAGAAAAUCCCUCUAUGUGGUGGAAAACCUCAGGCUCUGGGACGUACCUUCACACCAACUACAUUUCUCAGAGAUAUCUUCCUGAACCCUUUUAUGUUUGUUUUUACUCUGUUGAAAUUAAACUGAAUAAAAGGAGAUUGCACUUGCCGCCUCACAUGUGGACUGUCUGGUUUCAUUGGCAAAUAACCUGUAGGCCUCAGGCCUGACUAUGACUGGGAUAACAUUUAUUUCCUUUUCACAUGAUGGGGUUUUGUGGCCUCUUGUAUCAAGUAUAGAAGUACUUCUCUGGCACUUGAUCAUGAACUAUCCAUCGGGGUAAAGUGUCUGUAUAUUUUAUAGAAUAAAACAUUACACAGGAGUCUGUGACUGUACCUGAUGAAUAGGUGUAGGUUAAUGAACAAGCUAGAAACACAAGGUGCAGGGACGGCACUGUGGAUCCACUAUGUGUAGUUGACUCCUUCAUGUUGAGAGGAUGAUUCACAUUUAUAGCAGCGCAGCUCAGUUGAAGCACAGAAUAUCUAUCUUAUAUAUGUUCUGAGGAAAACUUCAUGAAGUACUCAAAGCACUCAGUUCUCACAAUGUGGUGGAGAGAGUGAUCGGAAAGCCCCUAUGGGUAUGUCUUAACAUUAACAUUUACAUUAAGUUGUGUGUGGCCGCCAAUCCAGUUUGAGGAGUUUAAGCUGCUGCUUUUCUGGACAAAGCUGGGCCCGUAAGAGAGGGGAACCAGUAAAGUGGUUCCACUUUUCCCUCAUGGGGUCAAACUCCAGCAUUUGAAGAAAUCUGCAGUGAACUAUGGAGUAAGUAAAGCUUGAAAAGACCCCAAUUUGAGAUGAAAAUUGACCAGUUGAUGGUGAGGUGGUCACAGGCAGUGGUUUCCUUGUUCCCCACAACUAUCAUUAUAAUAAUUAUAGUACAUUUUAUUCAUAUAGACGCAUUUCAAAACACCCAAGGACACCAUUCAAGACAAAGAUAAAAACAAACAGGCCAAAAAGAUGUAACAAUCAGCGCUACCUGAUAAGAUCAGCAACCACACCGGUAAGCUAGCCAGAACAGAAACACUGAAAACAACAGUCUGCUAAAUAGAAGGGAUGUCUCUACUCAAGGAGACAGUUAAACCAUAAUCCCUCGGACAGACCCCUAACUAAUUUUACUUUACUUUGUGCUUUCAGACACUUUCAUUAUUAAAAACACACAACAAAGCCAAUGAUUUUAAAGAGGACAGAGUUUGCUUAUCAGGGCAUUUCACAUCUGUGGAGGACUAACUGCAAAAUGCUGGGGUCUUUCUCGUGACCAGUCAGGACCUAAGAACCACGAGCAGGGCCCUUCUAAAAGACCUUGGUGCUGCAGUCAGGCACAUAAGGGGUUUGAAGCUCAACGACCAUAACCUGGCCAAUUCAGGCUUUAAAACCAAGCAGUUAAAUAUUAAAAUCAAUUUUAAAUCUCACAGGGAGCCAAUGAAGGGCAACGAAAAGUUGCGUUGUAAUGCCCGGCAGGAGCGUUUUGAAUUAAUUGAAGUUUUGGGGUGCACUGCAGUGCAGUGAAACAGCAAAUUCUAGAGGAAGGAAGGAAAAGAUCUGAUUUUAGUCUACUGGCUCAGUUGAAAGUCAAACUAAGUUCCAACUUAGAGUCAUCCAAGUCUUGAUUUUAGUCACACAUACCGUAGAAGAAACCAGUGCUGCAAGGUAGGAAAAGUAUAAACUAAUUUGAUGCAGAAACAUGACCGACUCUUGUGACUGCCAUUAGUAUUGAUGCAUUAACAUAACACAGACCAUUUCUAUUCGUAUAAAAUAAUAUCAGAAAAGCUAUUUCGGCUUCAUUGUCAUCUCCGUCUUGUUUUUUUUUUUCACACUGAGCAUCACUUCUGUCAUGCACAAGAGCCCUCCUCCUGCUGACAGGUUGAUCUGUGCUGGCAAGUAUCGAUGUGGCCCAAAGCCCAUCCUUAAGCCGCUCUCUGAGAUAGCGUCACGGGGGGAUGGAAGGGGUUGCGGGAGGAGUUGUGGUUGGAGGGCAGAUAAGCCAACGCUACACACUAGUGCUUUGUUUAUGAUGAAGUGGUCCAGGCAAUUACAUUAGAGGCACACGGGGAGCCCUUGUUUCUCUCCCCCCUUCACCCUACUCCCUGCGAGUCUUUGUCAGCCGGGCUCACACUUGCGAUGCCUCACGCGUCACCUCUGCUGAAAUGCAAGGAGGCACCUCUCAAACCUUAUCAGGCCGGCAGUCAAGGACGGGAACUUUUGUCCAGUGCACCUUUUGUAAUGACUCGCAUGGGUCGCUAAACGAUAGAGGGAGAUUUAUGAUGUGACAACCCAAGCACCUGCACACCACAUCCCUCCAUUGAGAGUACCAGUUCACUCUUUAUUGGAAGCCGUGAUUUAGAGGGAGUAAUUGACUGGAAAUGGACUAAUGCCGGUUAGAUGCUUUAUGGUCCAAGUGGCGGCUAACUGCUAAGGAUUCUUACUGGAUGGAGAUGAGGAAGAAGGAGGUAGAGAGGAAAGAUUUUUCAAAGACAGGGUGAUGCACCAAAAAGCUUGAACAGCUAAGUAAUUAAACGGUGAAUUGAGUCUUGCAGCCUUUUCUUUUUUUUCCCCCCCUUGCAAACUAGAUAAAUUGCAGUGAAACAAGUGAAAUUAUUUCAAGCCACUGGCACAUUUCAUCACUUCUACCAGAUAGAAAGAGAAAAAAAAAUGAUUUGAAGCUUCAAUAUCACAUUUAAUUACUUGUUAAAAUUGAGAUAUGCAAUAUGAUCACUCAAGAAUGUAAUCUCCCUACAGGAGCAUCUCUGACGUGAUAUUUUUAUUCCCUCUUUUUGCAAGAUUAAACAAGCACUGCUCAUCUUGAAAUCCUUAAUCAUAAACUCAUGUUUUAUCCUUUCAUUCUAUGUUUUCCCCCCUAAGAAACUACAUGAAGGGGACUUUCAUUACAUUAUAAAAGCAUGAAGUCAUUUUUCUUGCAGCAGACUGUCAGGCAGAUGUCAACAGUCUUAUUUUUGGCUUGCACGUCUGUGUUUAAAACUUCUCUCAGCUCAUUAAACGGUAACAAAUAAGGAUAUAAUUAGUCUUAUAAAAACCUCCUCCUCAUUAUGAGCCCCAGGAGAGGCAGCGCAGCACAGUAGGCAGUCACGACGACAAACUUACAGCAGGCCAGAUGGACAGAAUGGCUUAAUGCCGUCAUGUCAUGGGUCCAUAUGUUCUCCUGUGUGUGAUUUCUGUUAGUGUAGUUGUUUAGCAUUGAAAAGGCUCCUGAGAUUAUGUGGGCAGGCGGGAGGAGAGAGAGAAGGGAUGAAGGAGGUAGAGAGUGAGAGAAGGAGAUGCAGAGGAGUGCUGCUGCCCACAGGAAACUGGCUUUGACAUAUGUGGAAGCACAAAGCUCCUGUGGGGCGGUGGAGGGAGAGGAGUGGAGCUGAGAGACUCCUCGGAGCAGUGGGGAGAAGGGUGUGAUCAUUCUGUCAUGGAGUAUUACUGUCAUAAUGCAAAUACGCACACACACACACAUACACGCACAAACACGCACACGUACAGUGAAGAACGCACCGCAGCAAAAGUGUACAAACACGUACAAUGUUGAGAUCCUGAUGUAUAAUAAACUGUGGCAGCCUUCAAGCGCACACACACAAACACACACACACACCCUUAUAGCUAUACACACACACACACACACACCUGUACUCUGGUGACAGCAGCCCCCUAAGGUGGAGCCUUGUGAGGACUGCCAUUUUCUGCACCAGCACCUGUCACCUGGAUCAUGCACCAGAAGUGAAACAAGCAACCUCUACACAACUUUGUAUGGCUCUCUUUCUCUCUUUUUCUCCCCCUCCCUCUGCUGCUCUUUCCCUAUUAUGCCCAGGCGUGUCAAGGCAGCCAGCGAUGAUAAUUCAGCACCUAGAGACAAGCGCUUUGCUAGCAGAGGCAUGGAUGCCACAGUUUCCAAAUAAGGCACUCAGAACAGGCUUGGCCCUGGCUGUGCAGGUAAAAAAAUAUCUUCAUUCUGACAAGGAAGAAAAAUCUUGAAUUUAGGCAAAUGUGCGAAUUUGGUCUCAUGCUGGAUGAAAAAAGAGAAACCAGGAAAACAACACAUUAGACAGCUACAUGAGAUACUCCCAUAGACUGUAUAUAGAAUGGACGCCGUCUGCCUCCUCGCUGGGUAAAGCCACUCUGAGACUAGCGCACUCUGGUGACGGCUGCAGUAUAGGUCAUAAAUCCCGCAAUCCCUAUGGAGCUCUGGACAAACUUUAGAAAUUUAUUACACAGAAUAUACAUUUUUCUCCCCCCUGAUUGCGAUGUCGGCAUGUAGUUACUGUAAGACUGGUUUGUGCUCAAGUCCUCUUUUCUUUGAUUGACGCUUGAUACAGCCUAUGGGCGUACGAAGAUUGCGUAGCUCACCUGGGGGAUACGCUGUUUGAGCUGAGCGUCAUCACAGCAACUCUCCCACCGAAUGCGUACAAUGCUACAGUGCAAGUAGUGGAUUGCGUACAACGCUACUACACAAUGUUGGUUUCAGGAAGAGGAGAAAAAUUGCAGAAAUAACGAGAGCUUUUCGGCUUUCAAUCCAUAUACUAGCGGUAGACGGAACCAAGUUGUCCAUCGUGUAUAGUCUAUGGAUUCUCCUGACAAAACCGAGUCUGCAUUCCUAAAUGGUAAAAUUUGUUCGGUCUGACCUGCCAAUUACCAUUUGUCAACAUUUUGACAUGUUAACUUGGCUAUUGUCUAUCUAGUGGACAUAUUCUGGUCUUGAGUAGUAAAAGCAAUGCAGGUGUGAAAAAUUGCACUUUCUUAAAUGUCCAUUUGAAACUAGCUAGGUAAGCCAAGGCUAUCCCACUACCACCAAUGGUAAAACCAAGUUGCAAUCUCUGGUCUUGAGAAAUGAGCUGAUGUGAAACUGUGAAAUAACUGCAGAUCCCCCAAGUGAAAAAGCCACGAUAAACAGGUUUACAGCCUAGUUUGAAAAGCAGUAAUGGUCUGAGUAGCUUAGGACUCCCACAGCAGUGAUUUUUUUAAUUUUUACUUAAUUUUUUUAUUGCUUUGAAGAGUGCGUCAGGUUUCGUGCAGUUAGACAUUAAGUGUGGCGGACUUGACAGACAGGUACAUGUGUUAUACCCAGAGUUUCCACACAUGGCAACUACAGUAAUUUGGCUUCAUAAUUCCUUCUCAGAAACCAGUGGGUGACCUCACUAAGCCUACGUCCGUGUUUUAUCCGGUCUAUGGCUUUUAUCCAAUUUUAUCCCUGCUAAAACGCAGGUGAGUCAUCCCUUGAAGGCCAAAGUAAAAGUGUGAGAAGAAUAAGCAAAAGUGUUGUAACUGCUAGAUUCCUAAUUGUAUUCUCUUGCAUGACUCAUGACUGAGUAAAGGCUCGGCAUGGGCUUCACUUUACUGACAAUAAAUAAAGCCAUCUUGGUGUGAAUGUGCAUCGAGGAAGAGGCUUCUUAGCAUUAGCUGGACGUAGAAUGGGAUUAACAAGACAUAUGUGAUGGCGUGUUUGUGUGAGUAAAAAUCCAGAAAGUGCUUCCCAAAGCACAGAUGGGAGCAUUAGCACACAGUGGGAGCUGAUGUCUUUUUAUUUUUUCACAGCCAUGAUCUUCAUGGGAGGCUUUGAUACACUUAUUUGAGAUGCAGAUUUGUUUGCAGUCCUCACAAGUAAGAAAUUGUAAUUGCAGGGGAAAUUGCUGCAGAUGGAUUUGCAAUUUUUUUUUGUUUGUAUCCACUCCAAAUUAGAGGAGAGAAUGAUGACUGCAGCGAGACGCCCUGCUGUCCAUUUUGAAAGGUCACAAGUCGAACAGAGAAAUCUUUAGCACUGCUGUGACAGCACUGGGCACCUACUCCUUCAUUUUUGUCUCUUUCUCUCCCACUGUGUUACAAUUCUCUCCCUCCAUGCGGCUUUCCAUCCAUCAGUUUCCUCUCUUGAGAAACAUCCAAAGCUGUAAUCUCUUAAUUUCCAUCCCCGGAUCAACUAUCGAUCAGUCCUCUCCAUAGGCCUCUGUCUAUCUUCGACUCCCCCUGUUUUUCCUCUGCGUCUGUUUAUUGCUCUUCAUGCAUCAUUCCUCAUCAUCCUCUUCCUGCUGCCAGCACCUCCCCUUCAUUGUCAUCUUUUCCUCCACUCAACACCUCCCCUGCUGCUGCUUCUUCCUCCCUCUGGUUCACUCCUCCUCCUAUCUUUUGUGCAUCUUUUACUCCCCCUAUGCACAUCUGCCAUCUCUCCCUCUCUUUUCCUUUUAGCUGCAUCAAUCUAUCACUUUUUUUUGUUGUUUGUGUGGCUCCAAUCACAUUUAAAACUUAAGCAUAAUUAGUGGCCAAAAAUGCCAAACACUUUCUGAGAGAUGGUCCCCUCCCAAGAGAGUAAGAAAAAACUUUGUCACAUCAGUAAGUAAAUCUCUAUCUCUCCGCACCUCUAUCUGUCUGCAGUUGGUUUUUAUGUGUCCAGUAAUAGCAGGACUUCAAGCUGUGAUGGAGUGCCAAGACGAAGCCUCCAUCAUCAUGAUUAUUAUUCAUGAUUUCAACGCAUAAAACAAGUCCUUUGUGAAGUAAACAGGACAUGCCCAUGGUAAAGAGAAACCUUGGCCUCUCUGCUAUAAAUUCCUUGGCAUUUUAUUAGGAUGCCCUUUUUUUCCAGCUUUGUGAGGGAAAGUAAACUGAUGGAAUAUGUGAUGAAGCAAGAGGAGAUAACAGAAGACAGAGCAGGAUUUGUCUGGAAAUAUGGUGAUAAAGCCUUAGAAAGGUUGUUCGGCAAUGACCAUUUUUGAUUUAAAGGUGCCGAUACUACUCUCCUUUUCAGCAGGUUCACAGAGGUCUCAGAACAGUCACUUUUAAGUUUGUUGUCUAAAAACCAAUUUUUUUUCCUGGACUUCAGCCAGCCUGAAAACUCUCUCCAGUGAGUUCUACCGAGAAACCGCUGUUUCUGUGUGUUGCGCCUGUUCAUGCCUCCCUCAGCGCAAGCCAUGCCCCUCCCUGUCUCUCUGGAAGAGGGGGUCAUGGCUUGCAGUACAGUACCAUACGCUAAUGUUUACACACAGUGCUAGUGAUAGUGCUAGCGCUAGCCGUGCCAGUUUGAUCCAGAGUCUGACCCAGAAGGAGAGGCUCCUGAAGAAAUGUUUCUGAAUGGUUAGUUAAAAAUGUUAUGUGUCUCAAUUUUUUAUUUAUUUAUUUAUUUUUACUUUGUACGUGUGUCGGUACACAGUGACUUACAUGUAGCUAGGUAACAUUAGCUCCUGCUAACAGUUAUAUCUCCACUGUCUUCUCGUUACUUGGAGCUCUUUUGGUGAAAGCGCAAUAUUUCAAGUAUAGUAUCUCUAUGUUCUUGCAGUCUUCUAUUAUAAAUUUUGCAUAAUAUGGGACCUUUAAAACAAUAAGGGGUAAAAAAAGUGUCCCGAGACAAGACUUUUGCUCUCUUUCUGACUUGCUGUUACAUCAUUCGUUUUCAUGCAUGUUUAGAUGGUAACAAGACAAUGAGAGCUACUGCAAAAUGAGAGGGAAAAAAACUGAACUGAGGAAAGAGGGAAAAAAAGAGUUGGAGGGAUAACAGGAGGGUUGAAAUCAAAUGCUACAGAUAUUGACAAAAAACAAGCCCAGACACUAGCAGUCAGAAAUAUCGAGCGACUCAUUAGAUGAACUACAUCCAGCAGCAACGAGUGAUUUUCCUCCACACUUCCUCUCAGAUAUGUUGCACGAAGGCACCAGAAGAAGUGAACUAUUAGAACACAUGAUGAAGGUCGACUCGGUGGCACGCCACACAGAUAGAUUCAACCCUGGUGUAUUUUCUCGAACCAAAUGAAAAGGGAUGACUUUGUGGGCGAGGUGCUAACAAGCUGUUCAAUAAUACGAGGACAGUAUCUUUCAUUUAGUUCAAGCCACCAUGGCCUUUAAGGUGCAUUCCCAGCUGGGCUGAGGAGCGUUUAGAAAACAAAGACGGGAAGACGAAAGAGAAUAUUGACGAUGUGUCUGAGGAAGAGGCACGGAUACACUGCGAAAUCUCUGCCCAAUCCACUCGUCUCCGGGUAUCAAUAGCAAAAAGGUCCUCAGGGACCCCCACUUAGAUCAGACUCUGCUUUGGAUGCAGUUACCACACUGCAGGGCUUGGAACAAUUUGUACUACAAUGUAUGACAGCUUACAUGGAAUCAAUGAGGACAGCAUGAAAAAUUAAUAAAUAGCCGUUCAGCCUUUGUCCCUCUUCAUGGUUGUGGAGUGUAAAUUAGACUGCGUAUAAACUCAUGUGUCAUGCAUUUGCUUUUAUGAACCAUCACAUCUUUGGUCAGUUACUCAUAAAAAAGAAUAGUCACUGUUUUAGAGCUUAGUGCACAAGCCCUGGUCUCUUUUUUACUGCCACAAUACUGAACAUCCAGGGUAUCUGAUAAGCAUCCCUUAUACCUCAGAAUGGACCCAACCAGACUAGCGUAUGUGAAUCUGGCCCUGUUGAGAAUGUAAAGGAGGCAUGUCGUUGUUAAGGCAUGUAAUGGUAAACAUAUUUUGCAAUUAAUUCAGAAAGUUUAACCUGUUACUCACUUAAAAACACACUUUGUUACUGCAGAUGUAAAUAACAUGAUAUCAAACUUAAAACCAUAAAACCUGGUAAUCCUCCCAUGGUCCAGUGAGUCACACAUCAGAAGGUAUCACACAUAGAAGGACAAUUAUCAAUUAUUGAUAAUCCGCUCCAUGCUCCAUAUAUACGGCUGAGUGGAGCGGAUUGUGUUUACAGAGAGGCUUGUUCGGUAUGCACAGGCGCUCGGUAGUACGUAAGAGGCACGUAGUGACGUAUGCAGAGCACGCCCAAACGAAAACAAACAUGGCGAACAAACAGAAAAACUGGACGGUGGAGUGUUAAAGUGUGUUGUUUCGUGCUACUGACGAAGCGUACACUUCUUGCUGUGUAACCCGGCUGGAUUAUACUUUUAUUAAACUUCAACACAUAGGGUUCCUUACUCUGCUCGGUCUGGUAACUCCAGCGGUGUCACACACAAACACGUCCGUGCGCAACUCUAAAACAGAACUAAAACAAUGGUUCCUAUUAACAAUCCCCAUUGAUACAAUACAAUACAAUUGGAUUCAGCUGGGGCCAUGAAAACGCGGACUGAACGUGGAUCUCUUUACUUAAGGUUCAUGUAUACAGAUGGAAUCAGAUUCACUUAAUCCGAUUGAUUUCAAUCAGAUUGAGGAAAACUAACCAUGUAAACGGGGCCACUGACACAGGACAUUUAAGGGUUAAAGAUAUGGGGGGGGGGGGGGGGGGGGGUUCCAGCUAAAAAAGUGUGAGGAGCUGAUCAGGGCAGAGAGGAUUAAAUAGUCAGUGUCAUGUGGGUGUGUGAGAGGGAGAGGAGAAGGACAGUCAAUGCUGUAGAUCUCUCUGACGCUCUCAGCUGUAUUACAAUGCAGGAUCUGGGAGGGAAGAAUAAAAAACCGAUUUACACCACAUGAACAUGAACAAACCCGCCAUUGUGCGUAUAAUUGAGUGUGUCUAUGAGUGUCUAUGUGUGGUUUUAAGGAGAAAAGCGAAAAGGGGAUAAGGGGAAAAAGGCUCUGAAAUAGACAUGUCUAAAAGCUUUGAAGGCCUUGGUGAGCAGCUGUGUAACUUCAGGGCCUCAUAUUAAUCUGAGGAUAUUCUGGUAACUGUUCCCAGUAUUAAUCAGAGUUUCCUGUGGCUAAUGCAAUGCAUCACCAUCUGUAAUAGAGAAAAGAGAGCGGAAGAGAGAAAGACAGAUGUCAUUGCAGCAGGCCUUACCACCUCACCUCAUUAACUACUUGUUUUUCUAAUGGAUAAAUAAAUGACACUUAUUUAAUGACCCCACCAUUUAACCUAUUUUCAUGUGAUGACCUUAACCAUCUGUAUCUGAGAGAAAAUCUGUUAAUACUUAAGUCAACAUUGACUAAUCUAAUAUUGAUAUAUAAGUGGGCAAAUGUUUGUGGCCUUGAACUGAAAUGAUACGAUUUUUAUUCAUCCAUCUGGUAAAUAAACUGAUAAGAAUACUUGAAUUUGUCAGCAAACAUCAAAUCAGAGGCAUUUCCUGCCAGCAGUCCAUGAAAAAGUUACAAGCCACCACAAGCAUUUUUGACCAAAUCUAGUAAAUUGUCUAGCUCUCAAAAUAUUUUUGUCUAUUUGAAUAAUAAAGGCAUCAAAGGAGAGUGCAAGGCUUCAAUUUUCAUAACAGGACAGCCAUUUUGUUCUAACUUGCUCCAGUCAUUUUCUAUCAGUAUUCAAAAGUUGAUUGUUUUCCUCAAAAUUAUAACAUUUUUUUCAGGCAAAAAUGUAUUAUUUCUAAUAAUAAUGGUAAUUAUAAUAUUUUUGUAAUUUCAGAGCAUAAAUUGGUAGGAUUUUUACAUUUUUGUACUUGGGCUUGUACUCUGAUAUGAUAACAUUGACUGCAUGACUGCAUUAAACUCUUAUUAGAUCUCUGUCAUCUCUGUGUGUGGACUCAGGUUCACUGCAGGAAGUCUGUAUGUGCCUUGUGUCGUCAUACAAAUAAACACACUACAGGCCUACUGUUCUCACACUCUGUAAGUUAUAAUGACCUUAGUUCUAUUUUCCUUUAGUUUCUGUCUAUGAACAGGGCUUCAUGUGUUUCUUCUGUUCUAGUUUAGGGAAUUUAAAGCAUAUAAUACUGGUGUUUUGAACACAGCAUACAUUAUGUUGUUAUAUCAAUAAAUAAAUACCAGCAGAGCCCUCUGCUUCAUUUCGUAUGAACAAUCGCAGAAGUAUCAAUAGACUAAGGUGCAGUCCCCAUUAAAACACAUGGCCUGAGUCAGAUUUUUUGGUUGAAUCAGCAGUAUUUCCCCCUCUUCUGUUCCCACCUGCACCUGCCUCCUCCUCAUUACCAGUGGAGCCUCUUUGCUUGUUGAUGGAGUCAGGAGUGCUUUACUGCUCACACAGUACCACUGAUUAUAACAGGGUCCAAUAUCUGGUCAAAGGCAGAGGUUGAGCUGUAUCAUUUCAUGUUGUGUCUUAAUGCUUACUUGUUUAAUUCUUUAGUUGGAUGUCAUGUCAUAAUUUGAAGAAUGUAAAGUGAGCAGGUGAUUAUGCAGAUUUGAAACCCUUUGAUUGAGGUGAUUAAAGCUGGCUUUGCUUUAUAAUUAAAAUAGCCCAGCCUCUGCCAAAAAUGUGAGACAUUGAAAUAGCCAUUGAUAAAUUACUGAGCUCUGCCCCACAUUCAAACUGUCCAAUAUUUCCAAUUUUGUCUCCAUGGAAGAUUAUCUUUGCCCAUUUUCACCAAAGCUGUCAAUGUCUGUGUCCGAUGAUUGAGGCAGAUGGUGGGAAUGGGAAUGGGAAUGGGAGUGUGUGUAUGCGGGUGCAUGUCUGUGACUUUAUGAUUCCCUUUGAUCACAUGAGUCUUGACCACCUCACGGACCCAUAAAAGGGUUCACAUUGGCCAUAAAACAUGACUCUGAUUUGUUGGCUUAGAAUGAUCACAAAGGGGCCAUUACAGAGUGCGAGUUGAGGGUCAUGAGGCUGUCUUUGCUUGUCGAGCUACACCACGAGUGCGAAAAGCUGAACAAUGCUGUUUUAUUUUGGUUCUUGUCAGCGGAUCAGACUGAAGGAUCAAAAUCAAUGUGCAAGUCUGUCUUUUAGCACUUCCCACUUUUCUACUCUACUUGUCACAUUUAGCUGUAAGCCAUUUGUUCCCACUGAAGAUGUAAAUCUCACAAAUAUGUCAGAAAUAUCACUCAAACUGCAGUGCAUUUCCUGAGGAAUACUUUCAGCCGUGGAGUUGGUACACUCAUGAGUAUUUAUGCUGCCGUGAUUCUCUCAAAAUAAACUACAGCGCUCAUAUUCACUGUAAUGAAGGAACAUGUCAGCCAGUGCAACACCGUGGAUAAUUGAUGUGUUUUUUGGACAACAAUGGAGCUCUAUGGCACCAAAGAGGAAGCUAAAUUAAGCUCUGGCAACACAGACAGUGCAUAUUUAGUCUUCUAGAGAAACUUCCCCAAAGUUAUCCUCAUAUGACAUAAUUAGCUUUCCUUUAUUUUAAACUAUGAUCUCACAGAGCGUCUGAUUUCAAGUCUGUUUUCUUUCACAAGUUGGCCUUUUAGGUAACACUUUUACCAGUUUAUUUCAGAUCACUUCGCUGAGUGAAGCUAUGAGUAUGACCGGUGACGAAAUUCCCAGUGUGAGCAUGUACUAAGACAAACUGUGCUGGUGAUGAAGCAGUGCACUUUUUUUUUUAAACUUGUUUUAUCUUUUAUAUUUAUAUUUAUCCAGCUCUGACUCUUGUACACCACCACCGCCUCCCUCUUCAUUUUGCCCUUAGUUGUCGCCUUCAGAGGAGAAACUAAUUUGCUCUAGUGUGUUAUACACUCAGUAUAAUUACAUGUUGUUCAAAAAUUUGAUUGUUGACAAGGGUCCAACUGAAGCUAGACUGAAAUGACAUCAAAUCAAAUUUCUCAUAGUUGGGCUAAUAUACUUAGAUCAUGCAUUUGGUGAUAGAUUUUCUCUGACGUUUGAAUUCUUCCAUUGAAGUUGACCUGAGCAAGAGUUCCAACACAGGGCCUUGACUCAGCACAAGGUAGACAGCAGGGUAGUUAACGAAACCUCGACAGAAGAAGAAGAAAAUGAACAGGAAUAAAAAUAAAAAUAAAUUAAUAAUAAUAAUAAUCAUAAUAAUAAUAAUAAGAAGAAGAAGAAGAAGAAAAAGAAGGAGAAAAAAAGAAGUAAAGUUUAUUUAUAAAGCACCUUUAAGAAGAAAGCAGUUGAUCAAAGUGCUAUACAUAGGAUAAAUAAAUAAAUAAAAAAUGAAAAAGAUGAAAAGAUGUAGUUGUAGUAGUAAUAGUAGAAGAAGAAGAAGAAGAAGAAGGAGGAGGAGGAGGAGGAGGAAAAGGACGAGGAGGAAAUAGACUUAAGUCAAGUUUAUUUCUAAAGCACCUUUAAAAAGACAGCAGUCGAUCAAGUGCUGUAUAGAAGAAUAUUGGUUUCCAAUAACUUUUAAGGAGUAUUUUGGUUUCAAAUAUACAUUCCUGGGCCAGUAUAAGUGAGAGCCUGCCGUUGCUUUGCAAGUUUUUGCUACAGUGAACUUGUAGAGUUUGCUGUGUUGGUACCUUUUGCCGGUACUUUAUCCUGCAGACUUCUCUGUGGGUUAUUAAACCAAGAAACACUCCAUGAGGUCAGUGCUCUAGUUUCAUUGCAUUAUCGCACUGAUUUCUUUGCAUUAUUUAGCAGGAGCUUUCUCUUGCACUUACAUCACUUUCUAAACUUUUUUCAUAGCUGCUGUACUUUUUAUAUUUUACCUUUAAAAUGUAAAGACAAGCUAACAAGGCCUCUGAAGUUCACUGUCGCUUAUGGCUCCCUGUAGCGGUUAUGUGACCCUUGCCCACAUGAGCAGUCCCUCUAGGGUCUCUAUUCUCUGUGCUUUCUCUUCUCAGCACGGCUCUAUCCUGAGGCAAAGCAUGUGUGUUACCAUGGGUGGUGGUGUGUGCUAUUAACAGCGUUGGAGCUUUGGAGAGGGGUCACCAGUGAAACACACAGGGUCGUGUUAGACUGUUCAUGCAUUAGGCUGUGGCCGGAUGUGCUCCCUUUAUGUGUGUGGCCUUUCUAUGGGGUGACUAGGUUUCUGAGAAGCAUGGAAAAGACAAGUGACAGGGUGAGACUGAGGAGAAAAGAGGGUUAUGUGCCAGGCAGAGCAUAUAUGUGUGGGGAGGGGAUGAACAUGUUUGCAUUUGAUGUGUGAUAUACGGAGCGAGGAUGGGUGAGGCGAGGUGAUCCGUACCAGGUGUCACGUCAUCUGUGAUAAAGGAGGGAAGAGAGAUCAGUGAGUUUUCAGUCUCUCCACCCUGGGGAAAGCCGGGUGUAUUAAUAUCCACAGAGGCAGCCCGCAGACAUGGCACGAAUACAAGACUCCAGAGUUGCAGAUAAUAAUUUAGGCAACCUGGGUGGAAGCUUUAAGUUAUCUGUUACCUACCAGCCUCCACACUGACAGGAAAUGCUUUCUUACAACUUGAGGGCAUACAAUAUAGAUGUGGAGAUGAAGUGACUCUCCGUCCUCUCUCUCUCUCUCUCUCCCCUUCCUUAGAAAAAUAUUCUGCAUUUCCCUUGCAGCAGACUAGCUCGGUCCCGGGUGUAUCUUGAAAUUUUAGCAAACACAUAUUUCAUGGAUGUGGAGGUUGCUUCGUUUUUUAUUCACAGGGUUUCACAGUUCAUAAAUGUUUUGACUGAGAGGAUUUAUCAAAAGUGUUCUCGACCGAAAGGGUCAACUUGAUUCAUACCGGAGUUUAAUGCUCAUAAGUCAUUGUGAUAAGGAACCUCAGGCAUCAUGGAAGAGUCUUAUAUCCUCUGUGAAAGAAUAGGUCAGUCUAGGCUUUUACCCAGACAAGAAUGACCACUUUGCAAACGGCCACUCUGGUUGGACAUGAAACAAACGUGUUCGGUCAAUACAGCUUUCCACUAUUGCAAAGAAUGACUCAAGUCAAAAAACAUUGUUUUCUUUAGGGCUGCAGCUAUCAAAUAUUUCAGUAAUCAAGUGUUCUACCAAAUAUUUCAUCGAUUACUCGAGUAAUUGGACCCAAACGGCAGACUCACAUACAGUGAGAUUACCUAUGUCAUAAAUCCAAGCUCCGCCCCCAAAGCCCCGUUAUGAAGGCCAGACUUUGGAGAAAUAGAAAAGACAAUCGCGGAACAAGCAUGUGUGUUAGCGGAUUGCAGUGCUCGUAAGGAAGCUAAUGAUGAUAUUAGCUUUCAUCAUGUCCCUAAAGACAUUAGUGUCCGAGAGCUGAAUAGCUCCUAUGUCACCUGCUUCUGCUACGACACCGGCAAUGUUAGGCUGGAAGCUAGCAUGAAGGUAAGUGCGUUGUGUCAACUUGAAAAUAAUCAGCGCUUAUAAACAAGUACUUCAGGCAGAGAAAAUUCCUCCAUCAUUUUUUUGUAAUCUAGGUACUCGAGGAAGCAUUUCAGCCCUAGUUUUCUUACAGUUUCUAUUCUCACAGCACAAAGGACUGGUUAAUUGAGAGUAGAAAACACUGUCAACAGACUGUUGUGUGGGCAGCAAAACAAAUGCCCACCCAGCAACGACUCAACUUUGGGGUUAGCUAGCUUGUUUCGUAGUUCAGUUACUUGAUCAAAAUCACCUGCUAGUUAGGAAGCUUUUUUCAUUAUAGGAGCUACUUGAGCUGCAUCUUUGCCCUCCAAAAAACUGACAAGAGCUGCAAAACAUACUUAAACCUUUAAUGGUAGGUAGCUUUUAAAGUCUCAGGCUGUAGUCGUGAUAGAUCUAAAUGGUCACUGAUUGGCAAGUUUUCCAUAACAUGAAGGUAAUCGCCAUUUCUCUGCCAAAUGUAGCAAUCAACCUUUGGGCUUGGAUGCAAAAAGCUGCCGAUUUUUGCCUACUUAAGAACUGCUUCUUCACCUGUUCAGAGUGACCUUUAUUUCUGAACAUCGCUGCAGACUUUUUCAAUAUCAGGGAUGUUAGAUACACCUCCAAUACUCAUGUAGGACCACAAGUUUUAAUCGGAGAGACAGGAGCUGAUUUUUGGAUUAUGUUACUUAUAUUUUAAUUUUGCGUGUUGUAAUAGUUAAUUAACUUUACUUAGAUGGAAUACAAUAGAAAAGAAUAAAACUUGAUUGAUCCCCCAAAGGAAAAAUUCAUAUUGUCACAGCAGCAACACAUACGACAGUACAUUCAGGAGGUAUCAUCAAAAUAAAUAGUUAUGACAACAAAUAACUAGUUCUGACAGUAAAAAAAGAUAAAAACCUAAAUAUUAAAGUGCUGCACCGUGCAACAUCCUGUGUGUGUGUGUGUGUGUGUGUGCGCGCGCGUGCGCUACACCUCAAUCAGGCCUGUUAAACAGUCUGAUGGCUGUGGGGAAAAAGGAGCGCCUGAACCUCUCUGUUCUGUACCUGGGGAGAGUAAGUCUUUAAUCAUCUGACUGCCAAAGUGCUUUCACUUUACAGGUUAUAUCGACCAUUUGCACCCCAUUCAAACACUGGAAAAAAUUCAAGUUUAGCAUCUUGCCGCAAGACUCUAACACACAAGGAUAUCAAACCACUGACCUUCCAACUAAGAACAAGUGGAAACGCUUACUAUAGAAGCUAAUGCAGAAAAGUGCAGUUUCUCAAGUGUCCACUUGAAGCAGACAACAAAAACCAAAGAAUCCUCAACUUUGGUCUUGUGUUUCACUUUUCCCCUGCCAGCAAAUUAAUUGGUAUAAUAAGGUGUGUUGGCAUGUUGACAGAGGGUGUUUCACAGGAGGCUUAAAGCCCACCUUAGUCAGCGUUACCAACAAGACAAUCACCACUGCUGAGCUUUAAAUCCACCUAUAUUUUCAGACACCAGUAUUUAAUGUCAUUGAGACCAUGCCUGUGUUUCAGACAGUCUAUGUGGCUAACUGAAACACCAAGAAGGUUGAAUAUUAUUAAACUGGAAAAUAUUGUACAUGCACUUUCUUAAAAAUUGCAAACAUUCCCUCUGCUGUUUGUCUGGACACAGCUAGUUUACAGAUUCAGUUAGCCUGCCCAGGUGAAAAGCUGUAUCCUACUGAGCAUGUGCAGUGAGGGAAGGGAUUUCUCUAGUGGCCCACUAUCUAACAAAUACUGUGCUGUGUGAGUGGAAACAUUCAGUCCUGUAAUGAGUGAGAUCAAUCACCCCACACUGUCUACAGACCCGCACUCAGCUGAAAUUAGCCAAGCUGAAACGCUCAAAGGAAAAGGAAUUGAACGGAGGUCCACUGAGGCACAGGAGUUAACCCAGCAACCACUACAUGAUGACGGACACUGCAAGAGAUUAGCCGGGACCAGAGCUUGACAUUAUGCUGCUUCCUGUGGGCAAUCCUCCUGCUGCUCUUGCUCAGCUUUUUUUCCCCCACUCUCUCUCCUUGUUUCUGUUUCUCUUGGUGCCCACUGCUGCUACAUAUAAACCCAACAAAUCUUACCCCUUGCUACCAUAGUUAGUCCCCCCACCCCCUUUUUCCCUCACCAUGCCUUUUUUCAUGAUGCACUCUCCUCCUUCUGCAGGGUUAUGUCUGCUCUCAUCGUGACCUUUUUUGUUUCGCUGGAGUCCUCUAACAAUAGCAUGACAAAUAGCAGAUAGGGAAGCCUGACGCAGAGGUUUGGGCCUGGUUAAAAUUACUUUCAUGUGGAAUUAUUUCAGCCAUCAAUCCAAAUUCCUCCCUGCAAAUACAAAUAGGCCUGUAUAUAUGCAGACGACGUAUUCACGAUGCCUCAUUAGGUUAUGCAAUAAAGAAUCAGGGGGUGGGAGUGUGUGUCUGGAUGUGUGUGCUUCUGUUUUUUUCUCUCCUUCCAUGACUCUGCUGUUUUUGUUUUUACAUGUAUUACAAUUGCCUUUGCAUUAAACAUUGACUACUAAUGUUGAGGAAUAUUUCAAAACUGAUAAAUUAAAUAGAUGUACGAGUCUUAAAAGUGUCAUUGUUACAUAGUCAACAUUUUCACCCCCUGUUGUGUACACAGAAAAUCUUAUUUGGUCUUGAAAUAAGAUGAAGUCAAGUGUUCGCUGCUAUCUUGAGGAUGCAGAAAGCAGCUGUGCCAUAGACCAGUAAACACCUGGUCAAAAGUCCAUGGCACAUAACUGUGCUGCUACUUUAAAGCUGCAUAAAUUCACAACAUGCUCGUACACGAAGGGAUGCACGGGAGAACCACUACUCGUGAGGAAAAAUCUGUGCAUUUGAAAGACCAACAGACCACCAGCAAUGAGAUUGACUAACUUUAAAUUGUAGUUUUUAAUGCCAGCCCCCUUUUUUUAAUGCCUGAAAACGAUGUAAGUGAUAUGUAUCAGCAAAGUGGCUGAAGCGAAAGUACUGUUUUCAAAUUUUCUACAUAAAAUAUUUAAAAAAUUGACACAUUUAUAAGGUUUUUAGUGAGAGGACACUCCUUAAGCAUGUCAAGGAACAGAAAAGCUGCAAAGGAGCUUAAAGUUAUUAUUUCGUAAUAACAGUAAAAUACCCUGCUGCUGUAAACAGGGAGUGCAUGGUGAGCCAAGUGGUCAACUGAUACUGUGUUAUUAACAGCCAAUGCUGAUAAUUGGAGAGUAGGUAAAGUCCAGUCAUCUGCUGGUCAAAUCAUGUAACAUCAAAACCACAUCAUUUUGAAAUUAUCGGCUAAAAUACAAGCAUUUUAUAAUUAACUACCACUAUUUCAUGCACACUUUGACAUUGCAUAGAUAGUAACUUCAGCCAGUUAAUUCAUAACACCAUAAAUCAGUUCAGUUAAUCAGUCUUAAAGUCCAACUCCUAUCAUUUUUUCCCCUAUUUUUUAAAGUGUUCUCGGUGGUCCUUAAAUUGUGAUUGUGACGUCUUAAGCCAAAAUUAUGUUACCUGUGUCAUUAUCAGGGGCUUUUCUUCUGCAGAGUUCUACUAGUGCAUUAACAACCUACUCUUUACGCUAGCUUGUAGCCUAACAUUGGCGGCCACCUCUGCCAAAGAGGCAUGCAGCAGAAGUGGCAGGUAACAUAGGAGCUAUUCAACUCUCUGACACUAAUGUUUUUGGGUGCAUGAUGAAAGUUAACAUCAUAAUUCACUCUCUUACAAGCAUUGUACUCCUCUAACACACACACUUGUUCUUGUCCUCUCUACCCACGAGUUGAUCACCGGGUGCAGUGGAUCAUUUCCUUGAAGUAAUAAUUAUCAUAAAAAUAAUUUUGUACUGCAAACGCAGUAGUUCUUCUACAGUAGCGUCUUGGUCUGAUUGUAUUUCCAUCAGGUAAUAAUCAUAUAAAUGUUCUUCCUUCAGCUGCGAAACUCCGCUGCACUCAGUGAUUGACUCAUCAGGGCUCCCCCACAAACAAGCGGUUGCUGGAGGAGAGUGGGUGAGUUGUGCUUGGUCCCUUUGCAAGAGAAACUAGGCAAAGCUAAAAAGAUGUUUGAUGGCUAGCACUAUGGCUGGGACCCUAUAUUAACUGCUGAUGAAGUUAGGUACUGUUUAGAGCAUUAUUUGUGGCUAUAGAGUACAAGCGGUCUGCAACAUUCAUCUCUCAAGGGGUUGCCUAACUCGGCAUGGCAGUGUGUUUGACCCUCACUUAAUUUUAUGCUGGAAUAUCCCUUUAACUCCAUUCAGUCUUCAUAGCUACAUCUGCACAGCACCACUCGAAGUCUGCUUUUACUUUGAGCAGUUAAUUUCUCGUGUUGUUUCAUUCUGACUACCUUUGCUUGUGUUGUACUUACUCCCAUAUGUACACUGCUUUGGACUAAAAAACAUCUACUGUAACAUGUCAUAUUGUUACAACUGCAAGACCAAUCAGGAAGCACAGAGGCUCGGCAUCAAGGCAGACCAAACAGGGCAUGAACUCUUGCAAAGUUUUGGAUGUUAAGUGAUGAUUAAAACCUAAGAUUGUGACAUAACCAGCUGGGUGGCACUACAAUGGUUAUGAGGAAUAAACCUGGAGUAAGACAGCGGUUUGUUUAUUUAUAGGAUCGGCGACGGCAGCAUUCCCCUGAUGCAAUCUUAGAAACAUGAAGAGAAUUUCCUUCCAGAGAGGCUGUUGCAGCGACUGGGGAAAACAGCAGCUUGCAGUGCAGGAAGUGAAUAGCUGGCAUAGCGACAGCGUGCAUGUAUUAUUUAGAGAGAGUAAGCCAUACACUUUGCAGAGAGGAUCAUUGUUAUGACUAUGGCGAAGUGACAUUUGACAUUUGCCAGUUGGAUGCGCAGAAGGUGAAUGGCUAAGCUUUCAGCUGAUAUGGGCAGGCAUAAGGAUCAGCUUUUGUCCUGUGGGCUGAGCUUGACUUCCUGGCCUGCCUGAACUAACACUUUUCUCUAUUAAGUGAAGACUGGGUCUGCUGAAUGUGGCAACAGGCCCCAACUUGACAGAGCACCAAUGGGGAAGGUCCUCACUUGAUAACCCCAGCCCUGCAUUUACUGCCCAUCUAUUCAUACUUCUUGACUUCUCACACCCGGUUAUACAAAAUACAGCCAGUUUUUGUUGGGUAAAGUGUAAAUAUAUUCAAAGUGUUUGAUUCCUCGAGGGAAUUAAAAAAACAAGUUAUGUACAGCUUUUUAUUCACACUAUGGUCGGACUGUCUCUGUGGCCGAUAACAAGGAGAGAUUAGAUCUGCUAAAGGUGGAGGUGCAGAGAGAAAGCUUUCCUUUACAAAAAUCCUUCUCAUCUCUUAUCAGAUGGGCAAAAAGGAGAGGCCAUAACGUUAUCAAGUAAAGACGCAAGCUAAGAGUGAUAUCACCUGGAUAAGGUCACAGAUAGGAGGGGGCAAGACUUCAUUGAAGGAGGAUCAAGCUGGAAAAGUACAACAGAAAUGACUCAUUUGAUCUACUGAUAUCUCUAGAAGACAACACCACUGACACUUUUCUUUUUGUUGGAAAAGUUCUGCAUGUUCCUCACAAACUUUCUCCUCAAGCUUUUAUUAUUUAUUUAUGUGUUAUUUGACAGCAACAGUGCUUGACAGUGUUUAUUCAUGUGAAUUAUGCUAGUUUGCAGAUUGAGUCCAUAAACCAUUUCGGUAAACAGUCAAGCAUUAGCAAUCCCACAAGCUGUUUACAUGGUACAGUACAGUGAUGCGUGUUGAGCCCGUGCAUACUGUUGAAUAAAUUCAAAGAUUACGAUGACAAGUGUUUGGCGAUGAUAGACACCAAUUGUAAGAAAGCGAAGAGAGCUAUAAGUAUACACAAGCAUGCAGCGAUGAUAUUAAUGAGUGUAUUCAAAGAUGGAUUUAAAUUGCUGGGGCAAGCUGACAGCAGAAGAGCUUGUCAUCUUGUCAAAAGCAUACACAAGCAACACAGACAAACAGCGUCACUCAACCAACCCCCCAAACCCGAGAUAACAAUUAAGUGAAUCAGACGGCGGUGGUAAUGCUGUCAGGCAAGCGAGGGGUUUCUGUAAUGCCGCUUAAUUAAUCUCUGCAAAUCAAAUCGAUGGUAAUUUCGCUGGCAAAGCCAUCGGAUUUGAGGCCUGAAAGUGUGACACGAUACCCAGCUUGUGAGCUGAAAGGGUUUGUCUUUCGCUGCAGUCAAACUGCUCUUCCAUCUGCUCAUACUGCGUCCAAAAGAAAGAGAACAGGGUAUAAAACAGCAGAGAGCAGGAAUCUUGGAAAAGGGGCAGCAAUUUAGAAUGUUCAAUAUAUUUAUUUGUACUUUUUCUAGGGGCUCAUAUUAUUCCUAUUUGCUGUCACCUGAAUCUAUGGAAUAGGACUAGGGCUGGGCGAUAUGGGAAAAAGUUAAUCACAGUAUAUUUUUUUCAGUUGUUAUCGAUAUAUAUAUAUCAGGAUAUAAAAAGGUAAAUUUAACAGUGCUUAUUGGUAGCAUGUCUUUUGCAGUACAAUAAGCUACUGCUAAUGUGAGGUCUUUGUGUCUCUUCGGCAUUUUGUCGUAAGGCAUUGUGCUGGAGAAAGCGGACUGAAUGGUCGGCUGUUUCGACUGCACACGCACCGUGGGCUCUUUGCUCUGCUCGGGGUUUGUAACCUUUUGCAUUGCGCAUGCUCUGCCGCGUGGCACUGCUUCAGGGAGUGAAAGGAUUUGAGGUAUUCCCCGACUUUGCGAGAACAUGUACUCAACAUAAUUUGCAGUGCACGUUACUCUGCUUCAUGUCUGACCUCAAAAAAACAAAAUACUUUCCAACCACCAACAUUUACUUGCCAGUGUUGUCGAUGAUGUCACCAUCUGUUAAGCCUUCAUCCGCAUUUCUGCCGAGGGUAGCACUCAUUUCCUUUUUUCUCACCGACUGUGCUGUCGGCUUAACGUGUUUAAGUGCUAUGGUUGGUAGCUGCAGCCUGCUACUAUGCAGCACAUGAUUGGUUCAGAGCGAAGUGGACCCGGAGCAACUCCCCUUUUCAUUGGCUGUUCAAAUAGUCUACCAAAACAUGGCAGAAUGCCGAGUAUUGAAAAGCAUAUCGACCAUGUUUUAUAUUGCUAUUGAGGUAAAUUAAUUUCGAUAUAUAUCUUUAUCAUUUUAUCAUCCAGCCCUAUAUAGGACUGCACCACAUAACUAUCAGUCCCAGCUGGUUAGCCUCUUAGCUGAACUGUUUGGACUCUAGGUGAUCAGGUGAAUCCAUGUCUUCUCUUCUAAAUGCUCUUGAAUAAACAUGGUCCAGGAUAAAUAGAAAUAUAUUUACAAAACAGAAGAAGGUGUGCAGAAUAAUCUGAUGAAAAUGAUUCUUUCAGAUAAUGAUGAUGAUGAUGAAAAACCUGGAUGAGGCUGGGAAUUGAUGAUAAAAUAAUAGCUAUGAAACUGCUUUGAUCAUUUUGAACGCUGGAAUAAAUUUACAAUUAGGCAUCUGGUACCAUGCCAGCUUUAUAAGAAGUAAAUCCUCACUAUCUUAUGCACACACAGGCGUACACACGAACACAGGAGAAAACUCAUAAUUACAGAUUUAAGAGUAAUGACAAACUGAGAUUUAUCAACAAUAAAACGAUGCUGGCGAAGGAAUUUAAGGGGGGGUAUCAUCUGUUAUGGACUGAAUAAAUUAAACGCCGCAUGAAAUUGUCAAGUUUUGAAACAAUACAAAGUAAUAACUCAUGACAGCACAUUAAAAGCAACCUAAACUAUUUUUAAUUGAGAUUUACAGGGUAAACAGAUAUUUGCUAAAAACCUACCCUGGUACCUCAUCUCUCUUUUUUGUCUUUAAUGCAUUCUGUACAGUGUGAUGUAGAACAGCUUUCACUGAGGGGAUGAAAAGCUAAUGUAUGCGCUGCAAAUGAAAAACGACCAAAGCUGACAUAAAAAUCAAUUACACCACAUCAGUAUGAGAGCUGCAGAAUCUUAAAAGGAUUCACCAACAAAAAAAAAAAAAAAAAAAGAGAGAGAGAGAGAGAAUAAGCCUGAUUGGGUACAUAUAACCUCUGGCUUCAUAAUUUUCAUUAUGCUCUUUUGAAGUCAGAAAGGGUGGCUAAAAAGAUUAAGGUACAACCUAUGUCAUCAUUAAAGAACUGCAGAGUCAUGAAUUAUCUGAAUCCCUGAGAAGAAAAUGUCCUUAGCAUCGCACAAGGUACAUCUGAAAAUGGAUCUUAAUAAUGAUAAUUAGCUUAAAAGCCACCCAGAAGCAUCAGGAUUAAAUACCAUCAGCACUGCAGAUAUGGUAAAACUAAGACUAUUAAUAUCAGGGCUGCCAAUACAACCCUCUGGGUAUAAUAUAUGUGCUUACACUGGAUUGUGGCUGACUGACACUUCUUAAUGGAUAAAACCAUCAUUGAUAUUACCUGUCACUCCUGUGUUUUCCCCCCAUAAUCACUGUAAGGUCUUUGCUCUUUGAAUUUUGCCUCCCUAGACCAAAAACAGAGCCCUAAAACUAACUUUUUACUGCAAAGGCAAUUUCAAAUCAGUCAGUAUGUUAACAUGCCGCUCAAAAAGAAAAAAAAAAAAGUCUAUUGCAAACUGGACUUUUGAAAUUACAUGUCGACAUGUUAGUCCAACUCAAAUUGUACACAGGCAACUCACUCAUAGUCAGACUAACAAAACCAUGAUAACUCAGCGGGAUUAAGUUCUCCUGUUAAACGCCUCAUGUGGGGCUGAGGCAUUAAACUGAACUGAAAAUUAACUUAACGGAAACUGACUAAAACUGGUCUCAGCAUUUUGCAUGUGAUCCGCAGUUUACAUGUCCUGCUUAGAAUAAGAGGAGCAGCAGGACAGUAGAAAUGCUUUGUUAGAAACCUGUUAGGCACCAAAACCUCAAAAGAAGAACAAAAUGUAACAUAACAUAAGCUCAGAAACUCUUUAAAUAGUCAUUUGUUUUAGUGGCGAUCAGAUAUUUUAAUGAACUUUUCAAGUUAUGGUCUGGAUCCAUGGCUGUUAAUUUUACGUGAUAUGAUUUUAAAUUUAUUUAUUUAUUUAUUUUUAGCUGCAUUUUUGUUAAUUUAUUGUCUAUGUUUUUAGAGCGGAUACAUUAACCCUGUGGCAAAGGAGUGUUCCUGUUGAGGAUUAAUAGUCUUUUCUAAACUAAUGUAACACCAUCGAUAUCAAAAUGAGCAGUAGUUCAUUGGUCAUUAUCAUUCUUAUCUAAUCAUUUUGCUGUGUUUUGUGCUCGCCUCUGAUUGGUCAAAUCCAUUUAACUAUGUUGAUUGAUUCUCAGUCGCAGAGGUGAUGCUAAGGACAAGCAGACACGUCACCACAAACAUCAUUAAAUCAAUCACAAUUGGACGCUAAACUAGUCUUAUUCACUGUAUUUCAUCUCUGCCAAAAAGUGUUAGUUCCUGCUAACACUUUUGAUCAUCACUGAGGAUAUUUUAACACUGGAUACAGUCCUGCAAUCCUGAUAAGUGCAUUGCAGAUCACUUGAACAUAAACUAUAUUAUUAAGUGUUUAAAAUGAUAACUUUUGCCUCAUAUUUAUUAAGAAGUUGUGUCCUUUAACUGUGUUUUUAUGCUAGAGCACCCAUCUCCUCGAAUCAUACUCAAGAAACCCUUGAUGAGACUCUUGGUCUUAGUUUUCUGGCAUCUCCGAGUGCUGCAGCCAUGUCAAUAUUUGGGUUCAACUGAUGGCAGGAAUAGUUUGGACCCAAAGACUGUUUCACUGUGUUCACCCUAAGAAAACCUGGGGGGUUGGAAACAGUCUGCAGGACACUGGAACAGAGGCUACUGUGAGCUCAAUGGUAACCAAUUUCAUCAUUUACACUUACACUUCUCCCUGCUGUGAGAUAUCAAAGUGUCUUCAGUAAUAAAAGUCCAAAUGGUCGAUAUCAUCUCUACUACACAACCCAGAUAAGAAUCAACUGACCUCAUGCUGGCAGUUAGUGUGUAGAUCGCCUGACCCUGUGGUGGUCAUGUUUUAAUUGGUAACAAGUAUCUUCAGAGGUCACAUGACUGUGUUAUCCCUGUGAUUAGGGGACAUUUGUAAGAUAGGAGGAGUGAUAUUUAAUGACUGUCAGAAUUAAAGAGGACAGAAGUCAGAUACAAAACCGAACAUGGAAUAGACUUUGAUGCUGUUGAAAGAGUGGUUGACUGAACAAGAACAUGUUAACUGACUCAAAUGUGCUUGUAAUGCAAAGAGGAAAAUACAUUAGAAAAAAAAAUAAUGAUAAUAAUAAAAAAAAGACUUUUGACUUCACCAUGAAUGAAAUAAUUAGGUGUUAUAAUAACUAGAAAUAGAGGGUGAUUUAUUCAAAUUAAGUUGGCUGUUGAGAAUACUAUACGACCACUUACUAUACACCACCAUUUACUCAGCAGAAAAAAGGACACAAAAACAAGCUCAACUCUGUUUGAUAGCAACGAAACCAAAAUGGUCGAACAUCUAAAGGUCACUAAUUAACACAUAUAUCCAUCACAUAACCUCAUCAAACCAAAGGGUGUGGAUUUCUGACACUUUUUCGUCAAUUAGAUGUAACUCAACAAAUGUGAGAUGUUCUUUAAUGACCGUUAAAGAUCUUGGCCUUUUGAUUUUAUACUUUCUGGACAUCUUGUCUUUCCAGUUUUAAGUCAAAGUUCUAUGCCAAGCUGCCUUAACUGUUUGGAUUGGAUCCAUAUUCAACCUAUUCUCUUAAGUUUGUAUUGCGAUGCAGUCUGAAGCUGGAAAAGUUAAGUAACAAAGGAAACAGCAUAUUGUGUAUCCUGUUGAUGUUAAGUGGUUAGGAAGUGUUAAGCAAUCACUCAAACCAAGAACAGUCUAUUCCCAUGAUGUCAAAUCCCUGUCUGUUGAUCUAGGUACGCCAAGAUCCCUGGGUGGCUUCCAUAUUUGCUCGCAGCAUCAGUUUGGCUUAGCAGUCAAAUUGGAGAAAAAUCAGGUUUGACUUUUCAAAACAAAGCAGUCAAAGCAGAUAAAGGGUCAUAUUUGAUGACACUUACUAAAACAAAGCUACUUAAAAUGUCAGAUUUUUUUGGGAUGUGCAAGAAAAAAUAAGGUAACACUAGAACUAAUAAAUUACUUCUGUGUGACCCUUAUCAUGAACGCACAGUUCAAAGAUUACUGUAGUUAGUUUUGCAUUAAGAUAUAAUGCUUUUUAUUCACUUUUCUUAAUAAUUUCUUUUUCUUUUUUUUUUUGAAAAUAAAAAUACAGUUGUCUGCAGAGCCAUACAUAUCAAAACAUCUUAGAAACACAAAAUCCACAGGUUUUUCCAAAUCUGGCGAUAGUUAUGGUUAUAACCUUAUAAAUUGGGGGAAUGCAAGUUGAUCAGAACAACUUACUCCAAUAUAAGAAUUGUUUCCCGUAAUGAAGGUGUUUCAAAACUAGCACAAGCUAUCCCCUCUUUGUGAUAGGUACGUUUCCCAUUUCUUCCACAGAACAUCACACUUUUCCUUCUGCAAUCUAAGACAGAAGGUCAAAUUUUCCAUACUUUAAAUGUUUUUUACUAUACCUGCCAAUUGACUGAUCGUGGGUGGAUCCCUACAGAGCCAUUGUCUUGUAAUGGCUUUUUUGCAUGCUGCCAUAAAUAUACUGAGGAAGUAUCUGUCUUUUUUUUAAGAUAUAAUGCAUUUUUAAUCAUACUGUCAUGAGGCAUUAUGUUCACUGCUUAUAACACUCCACAGACAUUGCAAUAAGUUAUAACUAACCCUUUAAUGGGGUUAGUAUAAAGGCUGAUGGAUUCAUUUCUAUAAAGGCUACAUUAUAAAUGUGCUUGUAAUGCAUUAUAAAGUAUAGGUUUAUAUGAAGCGUAACACCAACUUCCCGUGGUUAUAACUGAACACAACAUGCUUACAUUACAGCCAUUUGUUUGUACAUACAGUAACACGCUGUCAGGCUGAAAACACUUGGAGUGUAAAGUAUGAGGACAAAGACUGAUGGAGUGCACCGGGCAGUUAGAGCACUCUACAUGCUCAUGUUCGUAUUACAUUUAAUGUAUAGUGUAUGGUAUAGGUCACAGCUGUCGCAGAGCACAGUGUUCUUCAUGAGGUAAUGUUCAGCUUCUAAUGAAUUUUUUAUGUAAAACCUUGUAAGUGGAAAGAAUACAAGGAAAGGAAACAUGUGAGGGUAGAAUACGUAAUGUACAAAGCCCGAGUCUGUACCUACCAGAGCCUGAGGCCUGGGAAGAGCUCACAAGGUUCUUAAUCACAACAGAGGUUUUAAAAAGAGCUCUCAUACGUGUUUUUUUAUGUUUAGAUGCUUCAAUAGGAGGAGGAUACUCAGCAAGAAUAGGAGAGGGAAAAAACUCUCAAAGCAGAGAUCUGACCUUGUCCAGAUGUUGGCUGAAAUUUCCACAAGGACAGGUGGAUUUUCUCUUCUAUCAUGGUGCACUCUCACACUGGAGAGGAACAGCGCAGGUGACUGAAAGCAGUAAAACAUGGAGUACAGCAUUCCCCUGACAAGAAAAGCUUUUAUGCUUUAGUGCUUUUGCAAAAAUACACACAAUCCAUACAACACAGCAUUUACGGUGCUCCACUCCGAGGAUGUCGGCAUCAUUAGGCAGAGGGGUUCUGAUGCACAGACUGUAUGGACAAUCUGACAGCUCUUCAAGAGUGAAGCCAAAACACCUUAACUGCCUUUAAUAAAAGGCUGAGAUAAGGUCAAACAGAACCAGUCCUCAUCCAUGUCAACAAAUGAGACAACACAGUGGUUGAUAGCUCUGUUGACAAAUGAGUCUCUUUCAGCAAUUUGUUUAAGAGCUUUAAAGACAGUGCAUGACGACUGCGGGCAGGAAACAGUCGCCCCCAAUACAGUCGCCUAUGAUUAAAUCCUGGAAUGAAUUUGUUUGAAUUUUGUGGAAAAUUUUUAUACAAUCCAAAUGUGUUUUAUUUUUUAACAUUCAGUGAGCACACUCAAAUUAAUUAAUCCAUUAUCUUUCCUGCUUUUCCCCUUCAGGGUCAUGUGGGUGGUGGGUGGAGCCUAGUCCAGCUGUCUAUCAUAAAGCUGACUUAGAGAGACACACAACCAAUCAUGCUUCCACUCAUUGCCUAUGGCCAGUUUUAGAGUGUAUAGAAAGCCCGAGUGCCAGGAGAGAACUCAUCCAUGCACAGGGACAACAUGCAAACUCCUCACAGUUGCAUAAACUGAUUAAUUAUUUAAUUAGUUCAUGGACGAGUUAUCUUUUUUGUAGAAAGCAUGGUUGGAAAUGGAGAAUACAGUAACCCAGGGGUGUCAAAGUCAAAUGGAUGGAGGGCCAAAUAAAAAAUUUAGCUACAAGCCGAGGGCCGGACUGAUCGAAUGUUCAUUGAAAUUUUUUUAAAUGACGCAUAUAGUCUUGUGAACCUAAUUGAACCUACUGAAAACUUAACAAAUAUAUUCCAAUAUGAUCAGAUAAAUAAAGCAAUAUUUUCUUAUGGCUCUGUCAGUAAUCUUUAAUUUUCAACAGACACAAAAGACAAAUUUCCUUUAUAUAAAAAUCCCCAUAACAUGAACAUUAAAUGAAAGAAACCGGUAUUAUUCAAGGCACCAUCAGUAGCCUAUAUUUUCUAUUUUAGCAAAAGUGGGCUAAAUUUACUUCAAAGAAAAAAAUAAUAAUAGCAAUUUUCUACCAUCCACUCAACUGAAAUAUUUUUAAAAUAUCUUUUUAAUUCCUCGGCCUUCUGUAGCCUUUGUUCCAUGUCCAUAUUCUUGUUUUUGUCCGCGUGUUUCGUUUCAUAAUGUCGUCUCAGAUUAUACUCUUUCAGUACCGCCACACUUUCUCCACACAGAAGACACAGGUUUUCCAGCUACCUCCGUGAACAUAUACUCCGACUCCCACCUUGUUUCAAACCCCCGGUUCUCAGUGUCCACCUUCCGUUUUGCCAUUUUUGAUGGGUAUCUGAAAGUUAAUUUUACUGUUAUGCUGACGACUGCUGUGCUAAUAAAUAUUGAAAUGAAGCAGCCUACUGCUCGGUGCGUCACCGUUGCAUUGUGGGAAAUGUAGUAUUGGUGCGUGUAAAAGAUCUGCGGGCUGCCGGCUUGCUGCGGUCUGCGGGCCGGCUCUAAUAAUAAAUCAAGAUCAUCCCAGGGAUGUAAAAAACCUUCUCGCGGGCCGGAUGUGGCCCGCGGGCCUUGACUCUGACAUAUGUGCAGUAACCCAAGCUGUGUGCUUUUCAAAGUAAAAGUCCAGACCAGUCUGUCUGUGCAAGUUCUCAUUCAUCCAGGUCAUGGUUACCGUAUUCUUUGUUAAAAAGGCAACUAGACUUGUUUGAGGUUCUUGAAGACAAAAUCGUUGUUUUGAUUGUUGUCGAAAGGAAUUUAAAUGCUGUUAAAUGCUAAACAAGCCUAGAAGUUUUUUCAACAAUGAUUUGGAUAUCCAGACUGGUAUGUUUGUGGAGAGACUUCAUCUUUUUAAAAUAAGGUUUGGUAAAAUUUUGCAGAUGAAACAUUUGGUAAGACCUUGAAAUCAGUUUCUUACCGGCUAAAUAAAAGAGUUGAGACAGAGAAAAAAGUUAACUAAAAUAAUGAGAUUUUUGCAGACUAAAAAAAGACCUACAAUAUUUGAAUUUCUGUCAUGUAAACUACAGUAUGGCACAAGCCAAAAUUGGCCCUGUGUUAUAAUGAAUAAAUAGAAUAGAAUAGAAACCAUGACAGUGCACUGGCGCCACAAGCUGCUCACAUUGUGCUUCAGUUGUGUGCAGUGAUCUCUCUUUUACAGUAGCUAGAUGGACUGCCAACAAAGCAGGUCUGGACUGCAUGUCAAUGUAAACCCCAUUACUGGCUCCAAAACGUAACUCCCAUUGUCCGUCUUUAGAUGUCAGCUGACGGGUUCCAAGUUUGCUAACAGUGAUGUAGAAUGGAGAAGGAAAAGAAAGAGAAGACACAGGUAACACUCAGGAUGCAGUUAUUUUACUUUCCCAAAAGCUAUUGAACCCUGAGGGAAGAAAGGAAAAGGAAGAGCGUCAAUAAUCCAACAGCCCACUCUGGCACAUUUAGCUUCACUUUUGUACAAGAAAACACUGUCCUUAUUCCACACUCAGUAGUUUAAUGGGAAACAGGGAAGUAAGAGGAAUAUCCACUGUGAACGAACUUUAUUCAUGACCACCUCUUCAGUGUUUGAAGUGUUUGCCCUGAACAAAAAUGAAGUACAUGUCACCCGUGUGUUUUAAUCAAAAGCAUAGUUAGGGUGCUGUACAAACUGCCACUAUUACAUUAUAUUUGUUUCCCAUUGAGGUUUAAUUACUUGCGUGACGAACAAAUCCGUGCAGUUGACUUUUGAGCUCCCCCCACAAGUGGAGUGAGGAGAAAAGAAAUCUUUCACUCCACUCCACUUGAUAUAUCUUUUCAUCAAAUAGGACAUUAUUUUUCAGGCAUAAAACACUUAAUACAGUUUCAACACAGUAAUGACUUCAACCCUCAGGUGCAUAAGUGGUUAAAAAUGACUUGGUGUGGAGGUUUUCUUGCACUCUUCAUAGAAUCUCAAGAGAAUCUUUGUUUCUUAUCAACUUUAGCAGACAGGAAUAUAUUCAUUGUGGACCGACUAUUUUAAUUUAUUUAUUUAUUUUUCCCAUAAGUGUCACAUCUAAUGAAAAAACAUUAGAACCACGGGAGAUCUAAUACGUACGUGUUAUCUUCAAUCAAGAGUCCUCCCCACUCUCUUCAUUACUGAGCUCCUUCAGUACUGCUUGUUCUUGCCAAGUCUCGCUCUGUAUCAUCCUCUUAAGUCACUGGGGAACAACAGUCGCAUGCGCUAGUUCUUUCUUUAGAGCAAGUGUCACCGCAGCUACUUUAAGACAUUGGGUGUAAGAAUAUAAAGCAGCCAGGGCUCAUGUCAAAUUAAUCAGAAAAAAAAAUUAUAAAUAUGGGUAUCUUGUAAGAUACUUCAAAGAAAGACAAGAGCAGGAUAAGAAAGUUGCACUGUGCUGCAAAAAUAUAGUCCACUAUUAUCUUCUUGAUGUUUUAAAGCUCCUAUUCAGAGUUUUUUUACAUUUAAGAAAUAGACUUUUAAUUCAUAAUGAUGCUUUGCCAUUGUCAUAAUAUGUUACCUGGGGUUUUUACUGGAUGAAAACUUGUCUUUUAAAGAACAUAUUCAGCAUGUUGUUAGAAAGCUGAAAGUUUUAUUAGGCUUUUACUAUAGAAACAAGUCCUGUUUCUCUUUUACUGUUAAAAAGAGACUUGUGGAGUCUACAUUCUUACCUCAUCUUGAUUAAGGUGAUGUUUUAUACAUGAAUGCCUCUGCCCAGAGUCUGCAAAUGUUGGACAGUGUUUAUCAUGGAACUCUGAGAUUUAUAACAGAUUGUGGAUUUUUAACUCAUUGCUGUACUCUAUACUCCACAGUCAGUUGGACUUCUUUAAGUACUCGUCGACUUGGUCAUUAGUACAUUUUCAUUUACAAAGGCAUUCUUGAAAAAAAUGUAGACUACCUCUGCUCCUUAUUGAUAUUAAAGGACAGAUUACACAACCUGAAAUCAUUGAGAUUAUACAGUUUGUUGUCCCCAGAGUCAGAACUGUAAUGGGAAAGAAGGCGUUCAGGUUCUCUGCCCCCUUUGUGUGGAAUAAUCUGCAAACUGAAUUUAAGCUGCAAAACUUGGUGUCUUUGACUGUUUUUAAGUCUGCAGUUAAAAGGCUGGAGUACAAACUCUCAGAAUGUCUCUGUUUUAGCUGAUGUUUCCUCACAUUUUUGUUCUGUAUUGAGUCUGUGUGACUGUUUGUUGUAACUAUGUAUUGCUGCCAUUCUUUGUCAGGUCUCCCUUGCAAAUGAGAUCCUCAGAUCUCAGUGGGACAAACCUGGUUAAAUAAAGGUUAAAUAAAUGUUUAUGUACAAUAACUCUUCCAACAAGUUUAUCAAGGCCCUUUAAAACUCUGUUGAGGAGCUUUAAAUUUGUGUUGAUUUCGGUGCCCCCUGUGGACAAAGUGUUUUCUCUAAUGUGUUUGUUGGAUCUGUUCUGUACAUUUGUAAUCAUGCUGAAUUUCUAAACCAAAUAUAUCACUUAUAAGAGUUAUUUGCAGUGGAUAAUGAAAACAUGUCUCCGGCAUGGUGAAACUCACUGGCACCUACCCUCAGGCGGCAAUUUCAGACAUUAAAAAUAAUGGUACAAAAAUAAUCAAUAUGUAUGCUGAUAAUCUGGAUCGAUUUUGUGGCUCUUAAAGGGGUAACCCAUUAUGAUUCCAGUCUUUUCGAUUAACAGUAAAAAGCCCCCCGAGCUUUAAAAAUUAGCUUGGAAAAAGCAGCAUUUGAUUAAUAAAUAAGGUGAAAAACUGUUUAUUAGUCAUGAAAGAUGACUGCUCUACCUUAAAAGCUUGUUUACCUUGUCGAAAUUGAAUUUUAGAUGACACUCAGCUUGUGACAUUAAGUAAAAGUGGAACACAAACACUCAACUAAACACACACAUACAAAAAUGCAAUGACACCAUGGGAUCGAUGGCAUUUCCCUCUAUUAGCUGCUUAAUUAAGCCUCUGACUGAUGGCAUUUCAGAUCAAUGGAGGAAUUGGUGGAAAAAGACCCCUUACCUCAAUUAACAUGGGAGGGAUCAAUAACAGUAAGCUGGUCCCUGAAUGAUAAAUAAAGGGAGUAUGUGUGUGGUGGGGGGCAUGCUGGAUAAUUUAGCUCAAGUAUUUCAGCCAGGGAAGGUAGUUAGGGGAGAAGUGGGAGGGCAGGAAUGACAAGAUUGGGGAUAAUUGUGGUGAUGGGUCUCAACAACAGUGUUAACCUCUGACAGAGGCAGGGGCCUAGCUCGGAAGUGGCUAAGAGGCUUAGCGGCUAAUGCUGCAUUAGACCCAUGCACGAAAGCACUAUCUGGGCCCUCGCAUAUACACACACAGACGCGGAAGACAAGGCACACUCACACUGCUCACACAGGAAUUAUGCAGUCAUUCUGCGUUUUCUCAUUAAGACAUAUGAAAGGCUUCUAAAGACUCAUGGGAGAAUUCCAUUAGUGGUCUGUCAAGCCUAACUCUUUACUCAUGCUCACACCGAGUGCUAAGUGUGUUUGCAAUGGUUGUCACAGGACUAAAACACAUUUUAAAACCCAGCACGGUAAAGCCAGAUGGACAGGGAGCGAGAGGACGUCUGUGGAUCAUUGUUUUCAUGGGAAUAAAUCUUAGUUAACCACUAUAUAAGUAGAAAUGAUUUUAUUGCUGCAUUGCAUGAUUGAAAGGUGUGCAAAAUGUCCUUUGUAGGAAAACAGGCAAGCCACAGGUAGCCUAUUUCUUUGAAGCAUUAUUACACCGUAAAGCUUUAGCUCAGCGAUUACACUCAAUUACACUCUGCAUGCUAGUUGUUGGACUGAAAUAUAAAGCCCUCUGUCUGCAUGUUAAACUAACACAGCAAGAACACAUUUUAGUUAUUCUCAUAAAUGGUCUACAGGCAAGUCUUUUUCGUAGAAGUUGGUCGUUUUGCCUAUAACACUUUUCAAACUCCUCUCUUUGAUUCUUGUUCAAAUUUAUAACCACAAUUGUCAUUUUUGGCGUUUUUACUUUUUCUGUAUCAGUGAAACUGCAGCCAAAGUAUCAAACAAAUUGAAACUGUGCGCCAUAAAAUAAAAAAAGACAAUUUUUACAUUUUAUGAUCUAAUAUACCAUCUGGACCAAUUUUGGUUAAACUCUCCUUCCCACAAAAUGUCCAUAUGCACAACACAGGAUAUGGCACAAGCCUCGGUUUUCCAAAUGUAAGAUAAUAUGUCUACUCAUGUGGCUUAUCUGUUUUGCUCUUCCAGAACAGGCAAUAUGAAAUGAAAAAGCAAUGAUAUAUUAUUGCUGCCACUGUCGUACAUCUAAACAUAGGAUCUAUUGCCUUCUCAACAGUUUAUUGCUACAAAAGCCUCCAUAAACAAUGGUUUAUGAUGCUGUUUCCAGUCUAAAACAAUGGCAAAAGGAAACAAUAUAGAUGAUUAUAAUGCAGAUGUAGUUUAAACUAAAUGUCUCAGUACUUACAUUAUCUGCCCAUCUAUAUUCUUUGCAUGCUACCUCCAUAAAACAAGAACUUAAAUAAACAUACAUAAAAUACACAAACUUGGAGAAGAAUUAAAAGUCCUUUUUUGAGGUGUGUUUUGGCCCUAUUUGGUUUGAUAUAGAUGCCACAUACACUCAGGCACACAUAGCACUGUUCAGCCCUGCCUGCUCCAAGGCCUAGCUAAACUACCUUAUCAGUGGCUGGCAUGAUUGCAAACUCCACAUGAGGAAAUUAGAUUAAAAGAGCUCCGCAGGUGCACCAAAACAUCACAUUGUUGACUUAAAUGACUACGAUGGAAAUUGUUGAGCAAAAACGCACAUUAAAACCUUCUGCUCUCUGAGAUACCACCAAGAAUAGACUCUAUACCACAUACUGUAUGACUCAUAUUCCAGAUUUUACAGUACGAGCGCACAUAUGCUCCAGAGACAUUUUUGCUGCCAUUGCCGACUAAAGUGGUGAGUGAACACUGGAUUUAUAAGGAGAGUUAGCUGAUGUAGGGAAACCAAAUCAUAAGGUGCAAAAGAAAACAAAGCACGUUUGUAUCUCCAAAAGUUCUCAAUCCCCUGAACUGAGCUGCAAACUGCUCACAUUACGGUCUUUGUCUGACAACUGUCGGGACAGAACAAAGGGGGGGAUGUGACAGAGAACGGAUGGAUGGGGAGAGAGGAGGAGCUUUGAUUUUCAGAGUGUACAGAUGGCAUAACAAAACACAGAAGCAGGCAAGCAGAGAGGCUGAGGCUGAGAGACAGGACAAAAGAGUCAAUUAAUAAGGAAUUGUAGUCAAUGUGAAGCAAGCUGUUUAAAAACAGAAAAAAAACACAACGUAUUUAACUGAAGUAGAGCCCAGAUAUGACAGUUCACAGAGCAGCCCUUACCUCACACACUUGUUGUUAGGGCAUUAGCACGUUGGGAAAAGGUGUUAAUAGCUUGAAUUCCAUUAUGUCUGGAAUGAAACUGGAUAAAUUUUGGCUCAUUCUACUCUCCUGGGAUAAGAUUGAUAGAAAAUGAAACCAUGAUUCAUCAUGCAAUUGAGGCUGUGAGUAUUUCCUUAAUGUAGGGAAGAAAUAAACGUGGGCUAGGAUGAGCUGCUACCCAGAGUGAAAUAGAUCUAAAGUAUUCUCACAAAGUCUGCAAUGACCCGCACUUUAAUUACAGAGCAAUUUGAAGGUUGCAGCUACAUAUUUUGAUCCUGAUAUAAUAGGAAUGCUCUGCUGCCAGGAAUAACAAGAUUUAGUUGGGCUUUGAAUGGGGAGAGUCAAGGAUUUGCACCUCAGAGGAUGCACUUCGGCCUUUUUUUUUACUAAAAAGCAAUGUACAUGUAUGUGAGUGGUUUAGAUUCUCUGAGUAUAUCUAUAACUUUUUCUAACCAGUUAAAUGUUAUGUUGGGCCAUCUUUUCUUUUACAGAAGGAUGCCUUUUAUUUCUUCUCUUUUGAUUCACAAAUUUUGCCCGGAAACAGUGGCAACAAGAUGAUUGUUAAAAGACGACCUGCAGUAGUUUGUUGAACACACUUUCUGGUUUCUUAGUUUACAAAAGUCCUGACAAAUACUUGAUUAAAAGUAGGGCUCCUGUGUUAAUCUACUCCGAACUCUUGACUUUCAGGCAAUGUUUUCUCAUUAGAAACACAACAUUAUGGCAACUGCAGUCAUGGGACCUUCUGACAAUUGGUGCCCAUCCUGCAAUAUGCCUCUGCAAUGAAUGUCAACUCCUCUGUUUCAGUGCACCAAAGAGUUAGCAUAAUGAAGUAACUUUUAACCAUGACGCCAGUAGCCUAGAGGUCUAAAAAACCAACAUAUAGGGGCUAUAGUCCUUGUCAAAGCGGUUGCUAGUUUGAUUCCCAGCCAUGGGAAUCAAACAUGGGAAUCAUUCUUUGUUGUAUGUCUUCCCCCACCCUCUACUCCAAACAUGUCUUGUUUCUCUUCAGUUCACAUUCUUACUUGCUAAAAACGUGAACUGUGACCCGCUUGAAGCUGCUAAUUUCAGUCUCAAGCAGGUCUUGAAAGUCAGUAUAUAAUGACAUUUUUUCGAGAGCGGAUGUGAAAGCAGCCUGAAGGAUUACUAUCCAUCCACGUCAUCAUGCCUUGCCACUUGCUGGCUGUGUCCCAGGCUGAGGCGACAAUACCGGUAAACAAGUCGGAAAACAACCUACUGUUGUACCAUUCAGCCGCUGUCGGCUGUUGUUCGUAAUAGCAGUCGGACAUCAGUGUAGCUAUCAACAGCUAUAGCUUUGUUAGCUAGUUCAUCAUAACACUCGAUAUUUAAACGCAAACAAUUCAAAACAUAGCUAAUAAUUACGUGGAGUAGCAAAGGACUGAAUAUCUGAUAAAAAGUGUCAUUACUAUGAAAAUCAUACCAAAAUCUUACCCCUUUCUCUCAGUCCAUCCCCUUAACCUUAUGGGGAAUUGGGACACCGCUUGGCUUGACGUGAACGCGCAAAAACAAGAUCUAAGGGGAAUUGAUGUAGGUCAAUGUCAACUCAUCUUGCAGGAAUGCAAAUAAGGAUCUGUUACCAUGGAAAAGUUGAACCCCUAUUUGGAUUCUACUCCUCAAAACCACCUGCUCACUAUACGUUAUCCCAAACAUGGUUUGAACUCAUAAGGUUUAUCCCAUAAGCAUAUAUUUCACUCUGUAUUCUUGAAACAGUUGCAGUCUCCACAUCCAGUCAUAAAAUAUAUUCCUGUGAGUUAAAAAAAAUAAAAUGUCAAUAAUGUAAAGUUAAGGGUCAACAUUCAUGAUGCCUUAGGUUGGACUGACUUGCUUGUUUGAGGAGGAGGACGGGGCACAGUGUCAGAGCCUUAUUCAUGAAAAAAAGAAAAUGAAAAAAAAAAAAGCAUUUUGUAUAACACUAAAUUAUGCAGAAGAUAAAAUAAUGAUCUAUUUAAAAAGGAAUAUAAUCUAUGUGCAUAUAUUUAUUCUUGGUGCCUAUCCCAUCCCUGCAUGCUGCGUCUCUUUCUCUCUCUAUUUCCAAGUCUCCCUUCUCUACUACAUGCUACCUGCAGGUUAUGGAACAGCCAAUAUGCUGGCGGUUUAUUUUUUUGAGACACCUGAGUGAACAUAAGGCUCAAACAAACUAACCAUCUACAACGCUGACCUCCCUGUGAACUGUGCAGGAUGCCAACUCAUAAAUACACAGUUUACAACUGCACAGCAUAAUGUGCCUCCAGCAAAAAAGAACAUUCUCUUCCCGCAUCCACUUCACCAGCGCACACACUACUUAUUGAGCCAUCUAGUCGAUCUAUUUCCAGCACUCAUAUCUCACAGUGUUCCCAGUGUCUUCUGAAGAGUUAUGUCAGAGUUUGUCAAGAAUUUUUCAUCUAAUCACAGCUUGAAAUUCCCCCCCAAAAAAGAUGGUUUAAUGGCUUUAUUUUCACGUUGAUAACUCACCAAAAGAGUGCUGAUUUAAAUUUGUGUUUUGAAAGGGAUGGCUGUGCACUGGUAGCCUUGAGCACAUUCACUUGAAGCAGGUUUAUCCUGUAAUCACCACGCUCUGCAGCGAGUCUUUAACAUAUCUCUCUCUUCCUCUCUUUAGGAAAGCAAUAUUUUAUUACCUGACAGACUUUUAAUAAAGAAUUUAAUUUUCUUUUUGGCCUUUACUCUUAAUGAAUGACUUUGUAGCAGCUAGCCUGCUCUGGUUUUUAAACAGUUUGCUGUACUCAUUAUAGAGAGCAUCUAUAAUUCAAUGUACUUCAUAAUAGCUUUUCUAUGCUGUUUGCAUUAUUACGUAUGUGGCCCAUUACCCUGGCAGGGAUCGUGGAACAUCAGAGCGACAGAAAUGCAAACAAGUAGAAAGCUUUGUGUAGAGGCAGAUUAAUCCUUAUGAAAGGCUUUUUUCAGGGAACCAACACAGAUUAUUUUAUUCUAUUCCUCUCUUAGGUCCGAUGUAUUAAAAAGACAUGAUACACUUACAACACAAAAUGUGAGAACAUACAAUCCUUAAUUAGUUAACAGAUUAUCUCGACACACACACUUUGGGUUUGUUUAGCCCAUCUGGAAAUCUUAGACAGCAUUUCCUUUGUGUGUUUUGUUUUGUGUACACUAAGCCUCAUUCUUUUACUUUUUUUUCUCUCCAUGAAAUGAUAUUCAUUUAUUAAAGGAAAAUUUAAAAAAAACAAAACAAAAGAAAAACACAAGAGUUUAUUUUACCAAGCCUGGGGUGCUGAUAAGGGGCCCCGCAAUGCCAACAUAACACUAUGCAGGUACAAGUGCAGCAUUUUUCAAGAGGACUCCACUAUUUAAUGGAAUAAUGAUCACAAUUAACAGCCCUCCUUUUUUUUUUUUUUCUUUUCACAAAGUAUUAUUGAACUUACACUUAACCUGGGAUCAACAGACAAACAGCUCAUACUUCUCAGUCUGAGCUGUUUGUCUAAACCCCUGAGAAAUUGUACAACUUUAGUCAUCGGAAGCAACAAAAUGCUACAUAUGAAUGUAGCAGUUACAGUUUUAUAAUAGUGUAACACCCCAAAAAUAUACAAGAUACGUGUGGACCACAUUCCAGUUUAGCUCCAAGGGCAUAUGAUAUGAUACGAUUCAAUACAACUUAGUAUCAUGACACAUGAUACCACACAGUACAACACAAUAUGAUACAAUGCAGUAUUAACCAAUGCAAUAAGAUACAAUGUGGCAUGUUUGGAUGAAAUACAAUACAAUAUGAGUCUAUAUGACACUGUACUUAACAGUAUGUUAUGAUAGGUUGUGUUGCACUGUCAUGCAUUAUGGUAUGUUAGGAUAUAGUAUAAAACUAUACAAUGCGAUACAUUGUUAUAUUGUGCUGCCAUACAUUACAAUAUAGUAUGACACAAUGUAAUAAAAUACAUAAUGGUAUAAUAUGAUAUAAUACAAUCAGUUACGAUGUGAUAUGAUACAUUAUGAUACAUUACGACAUGGUAUAACAUGAUAUAACAUGAUGCUCAUAAGUUGGGAAAACCACAGUCUAGUAUACAUGUUUUUUUGUUUGUUUGUUUGUUUUUUAGGCUGGUGACAUAUUUCUGUUUGAUUAUGAGUGGAAUCAUCAAAUAGAAAAUUACUUUGGGUAAUGCUACAAAUUUCUAAACAUGACUGAUAUCCUCAGAAUCAGGCAGAAAUAUUCUAUCUCCAAAAUCACUGCUCUCCAGGAAACAAAGAACUCUAUUUUUCAGACUGAUUAUUCCACCCAGACAAAUAAUCUGUGUAUUUUUACUUUGAAGGAGUUGUUUACUGACUGGCUCUUGCACUGAUGUCUCUUUGUGGCCUUCUUGAGUUGAUAUAGAGCACUUACCCCGAUAUAUUUGUAUGUAGAAUUCUGCUUGUAGAGUUUGCCCAUGAGAAGUAAGUAAGAAAGCAAACAUAAUAUUUUUUUCUAGGAUAAUUUAAUUUUUGCAUUGUGUUUUGUAUUUACAGCUGAUGCUGGAGUAGGAUAAGCUUAGGGGUUUUUGCAGUGGUGUUGUUUAAGAUGGUGACACUCUAUAACCAGGGUUUUGCAGGGUAAAAGAGCAGGGAUAGAGGUUCAUGCUGGUCCGUGGGUCUUUAUUUGUUCUUUGACAAUAUAAGAGUUACAUUACUUGGAGACACUUGAGCACAUAUCACGACACUGGGGUACUAAUGGGUAUUUAACCAACAUCUAUGGUCCCCUUUAUAUAGCCAGAAACUUUGAUAUUUCCUAUCACUCUGCAUUUCAUUUGUUUUUUUUCUCUUUUUCUUAACAAGGUAAAGCAGUACUGAAAAUAUGAAUUUACUCUAUGCUUAUAAUGUUUCUCUGAAUGUUAAAAAAAAAAAUUAAGAAAGACAAGUACUCCCUUAUGGCGACAGGUACUCAUAAAAAUAUGCCAAAGAAACAAAUGUUAUUUUAUAUUAAUGACCAUGUUAGGGGCGCUUGGACUCAUACAGAGUCACUUUCCGUGGAUUUCAUAUCCCCAAAUAGCCUGAGUAAAAGUUCUUUCUGCAGCGGAAACACACAAUCUUGAUUCUGCAUCAAACAAGGUCUCCCCAUGGUCAAGAGAGCUCACAGUGUGACUGUUAUAAUAGAAAGUGAAGAGGACUAUUUUCAAAGAAAAUGAGUAAAUGAUCAAUCUUUAACCAAGCGUUCUGUUCGUGAAUGAGACUUCCUCCAGAAAUGCAACAUAAAUAUGAAGGCUUCUUUUUUGAAUAAUCUGAUGCAAAAUUCAUGCACCUCUCACCUCUCUUACAGAAGAAACCAGUCUGGGUUCUCUGGACUGUUGCUGCAGACGUUUUGCUGCCAUUGACCUGCCUGCUUUCCAGCUGCUUCAAAUAUGCGCAUCAGUCUCUCCUCUCUUCUUGCAUCUCCCUCUCCCCCUUCUCUAAACCCAGCUCAGUCUCAGCAGCUGGCGCUUUUACGUGAGUCUGGUUCUGCUCGAGGUUUCUACCUGUUAAAGGAAGAUUUUCUCUCCCCUGUAACUUGCUAAACGCUGCAAAGUGUUUCACUCAUGUGGUUGAUAAUGGGAUGGGAGUGGGUCUGAUCUUACAAGAUGGGGCUCGAUCUUAUCCCAUCUUUAUAUCUGGUCUUUGUAAAUAGAGCCUGGUCCAGAACAUUUUUUAGUCAAGUUUCUUGUGAUAACAACAUCUGGUGCUGUGUAAACAACACUUAAUCCAAAAAUAACAAUCAUUUUAUGACCACCCUGAAAAAUCAAAGACAUAAAGGUUUUACAGGUUUACCAACUUACUAAACGGCAAGAGCAGAUCCAUUUAUAAAUAGCUGCACUUACCGUGGAAACAGAUUGGGUUAGUGCUUUCCAAACUGCCAUAAAUAAAAAAUGUGGCUCCCUCUCUAAUUGUGCAACACCCUGGGCAAAGGAUAUUUACUCACUCUUCUUGUUUUGGAAAAAAAGGGAAUGGUUUUGCAGCAAUGCAGCAACCUUAUUGUUGUAUUACUGUACUCUGCUUGCUUAUGAUGUUGCUGUUUCCAGGGCAUGCAUCUGAUUGGGUGACAGAGCAGACUGCACAAAGGAUGACAGGUUCAUACUUAACAAAUUAAUGGAAAUAACUGAUAAACAGUGAGUUGAAGAUGGCAUAUGUGUCUCUUUAAUAUUAUGAGGUGGAGGAUAAUGAGGAAUCACUCCUUUUUUAAUCGUAUUGUAUCAACGUUCAAAACUUUGUUAUUGUGGAAACUUAAUUUUGAAUCCCGUAGGGGGUAGAGAGGUUUCUUUGUGAGUAUUUGGUUUCAAACCAGCAGUAGUCUCAUUAUUUCCAGUCUGCUGAGUGUGUUCAGGAGUUUUUUCUAAACACAACCUGUCCAUUAUAUUAACCCUUUCAAAGUCACAAGAGAGCUGGAGCCAAUACUCUUCCAUUAGCUUGAAUAGUCCCCACCUUCCCCUGAUACUGAUAAAAUGGGACUCAGCAAAGGCAACCCAUUUGUUUUCUUUUUUCAUGUGUUUUUUUUUUUUUUUUUUGCCUCUGCCACGUCUAUCAUUUUUGUUAUUUCGUACCAGUCGUUCUUGGAGCCUCGCACAUGAAGACAGCCACGCACAAACACACACCAAUCCUACUGAGUUACAUAAUGUUUCUCUGUCAAAAGAUUUGGUAAACAAAUACAUCACACCAGUGACUGAUUUAGUUAGUCAGCCCAGACUGGCAGACGUUACACAAUGAGCCCUGGGCUUUCUACUCUACAACGCUUUUCAUUAUUUACCACCGCUGGAGAGCUGAUCACUCCAAAAUUAGACACUCCUAAUGCUGUGAUGUAUUUAUUCAAGAUGACAGCAUGGAAUAUUUGAUCCGAUUUGUUUGUUUGUGUGAGUGAAAGAGGAAUUAAAUGCAUGCAUGUGUUGGAAUUGUAUAAUCCUCAAAAAAAGACUUUUAACAGUCUGUUUGAUAUCCACACAUGCAGGUGCUUUUAUGAAUGCAUGUAUGUCCACUUGAGGAGGGUGCAUUUCAUCGAUAUGUUGAUGGAUCGCGAUGCUUCACGUGACGAUUCGGAAUUGAUUAAUGUCAAUGUUUAGUAAAUAAAAAUAAUAAUGUUGACGCUUUGCCGCAAGGCCAGAACAAAAAAAAACACGUAACCGGAACCUUAAUGCACGCGCCGCCCGGACUGUUUAGUGAGGGGGACUACAACAAACAGAGCACACUUGUUCCUUUGCAAAAUGGCAACUGCUUCAGCAGCCUGCAAAGAGCGGAUGAUUCUCUUGCCACCAGGGUUGACCUGCAACCGUGUGGAAGUACUCUGAAUUUUACGAGAGAGCAAACAAGAUGACUGACAAGACCUACACGACUUGCAAAGCAAAAACAAAGUAACUCAGCAACACCACAAAUAGGAGGCAACACCUUGUACACUUUCAUCCCGAAACAGAGAAGGCUCCUCUGGUUGUGCCCGCCACACAGACGGCCAUCCUGGAGACUGUCUCCAAACUUCCCAGUUUAAGUUAAGAAGGUCAAAGUGCAAAUGUUUACAUAGCAGUCAUACAGUAAUAAAAUAAAAUAUUUUGUGUUUUUAAAAAAUACAAGUCAAAUGUUCAAAAAAUCUUAUUUAGUUAUUAAGUUUAGUUUUAGAGCAACUGAGUAAAUUGAUAGGCUAUUUAUUUACAAAUGUAGCCACAGAUGAGGACAGAAUCAACCUUGUAUGGAAUAAAGCAUUAAAAAUGGGAAUCUAAGCAUCAUGGCACCAAUAAUCUAAUCGGAUUGACAAUCAUUGUCAGAGAAUCAAAGCUUCCCCAAUCAAAAUCUAAUCCAAUCUUAAGGUACCCAUGAUGGAAAACCCUUAAUGUCCACAUGUGCAUAAUUCUGUGUUUGAUUGUCAGAAAGGUUGGAGCAGCUCAACUGCACUAACCCACUAAAAAAAUAAAAAUAAAAAAGAGGUCUUAUUUGAGAAACAGCACACACUCCAAGCCUACUUCUGUCCUUGGAGGAGCUGGAAAAUACACAUUUGUAUUGCUGUAAGAUUUUCUACUGAGGAUACUGUAUCUUAACCCUCUCGACCUCUAGAGGAUUCUGAAAUGUUGGUGCACUUCACUCAAAACUGUCACUCUGGUGAGUAUUCAUCUCAGAUGUUGUUUCUUGAAUCUGCUGGGGCCACUCUCCCAAUGUUGGGGUCACAGCACUGAGUACUCCAAUCAAAACUGGUUUCACAGUUGUCUUCACUCCUCACAUUUACUCUAUUUGAACUUUCAAACCAUUUGAAAUAGGAAUAUUACACUCUAUGGAACACCUGUUGUAAAUUACUCAUCCAAAAGAAUCACCUCUCUUUUCUUUUUCUUGGCCUACCGUUGCUUUCUUGGUCUUCUUCUUUAUUCUGUAUGUGAGUAGGGGGAGGUAGAGUGUGCAGCCUGACUCGGCAGGGGUGAGCUCCAGCCAAAACAGGCUUCCUUUUCUGGUUCUGCUUUCCACAUCUUCUUUCUUACAUCUCUCCUCUGUUUUAUCUCUCUCUCUCUUCAAGAAUAGGGAGGUUGGGGGUAGUACAGCACACAUCCUAUCUGGUGUUGGUAGCUCUAGCCCCUACAGGCAUCUUGCCCUGUCUUAGCCUUUCUUGUCCUCUUUAACCAUCUCUCUGCAGACUUCUCUCUCUGUUUUUUUAAUCUACUUUUCUUUCCUCUCAUGUGGGUAUGAUGGGCUGUCAGACUCGGCAUAGAGGGGUCUUUCUCUGAGAUGCUGAAGUGAACUGUUGAGCCUCCUCCACCCUGAGGUGUCAAGGGCCUAACUCAGUGUGACAGUGGUGGUAAAGGGAGAUGUUGACUCUACAGCCUCACCUUAAUUGGCUUUUGCUGCUCAUCUGGUUUCACAGUCAGGGUGUAGGGGGCCACCAGAGACCAAGUAGUAGGGUAAGUAGCAUUAAUGAUGUCAACGGUUCGGUUUGUUGAAGUUUGCGAUCCUGUUUGGGUGGUGAUGGCCACUCGGCACCCUUUAGUCACCUAUUUUUUAGUUUUGUUUUUUUCCUGCUGUGUCCAGUGCAUCAUCUUUUCGUCCAGCAUGGCUUUGGCAGGCUAAGAAAUCAACAUCUGUCUCUCUCACAUGUGCUGCAGAAACACAAACCAUCUGCCCAUCACCUCUAAUUAACUAAAGCAGAGAGAGCCAUGGAGCGACACCAACAGAACAAAUCCCAAAUCAUGUUGUAGUGCUUUUAGGUCCUGUGUGUCCUAUUAUAUGUGAAUUCAACACAGCAUGACAGAGCUAUUGAAUAGAGCUUUUGAUGUCUUGUUCUCCUCCAACAAACACACGGGGUGUACAAAUGUAAAGUGCAUGCUCAGUGGUUGGAUUUAUGCUGUGCUGUAGGAAGCUGCUACCUUCAGGAAGUCCUCUGGGAACCAGCAUCUCUGCAGGCUCUAUUGUCUCUUUUUAACAUAUUCAUCGUACAAUGAGGCAAUUUCCUACAAUAGCAUUGGCUCUUGAAUCUGGCCAUGCCACAUCACAUUAUCCACGGAGAUUGAAACCCCAGCUCCUCCUGCUUUGGAUAAAUUCCGUGUCAUUGCCUUCCCUUAUACCUUGGCACCCGAGCCUGGACUGGUAAUGGCUAGAUGUAAACAGAGUCGGUGGUUUUAUUCUUUAAAGGGAGAAAGAUAUUUUUUUCUCUCACAUUUUUAGCAUUGUUUACAUGUUGUAUGAAUAGCAGACACAUAUAUAGAAUCUACUGUCAGUGUUGUCAAUAUAAACACACAUCAUUAACCAGUUAGGAUAAUGACUUGUUGCAUGGUAACACAAGAUUAGCUUGUCUAUUAGCAUAUGAUAUGAUGCAAAUAAAACCCUGAAAAUGAGUCUUUGUCUUUUAUACAUAUUUAUUCCAGUUUGACACAUUUAAGAGUCUGUGGGUUGUUUAGCUUUUGUGCCCACCAUAAACCUUGACACUCAAAGACACUGUUAAAUUCAGGAGGUACAUGCGACAGGUUAAUGCAACUACGCUGCUGAAAAAAUGCCAAGUCUAAACUACAAUCCUGUGUGGGCAUAUUUUAAUGAGCUACAUGCAUUCAUCAAGGUUAGAUUUGUCUCCUGUUUAAAUGAACAUCAAUGCAGAAAACAGCUUGUUCAGUCACAGUGAGUACAUUUACAUGCUCAGUUAAACUGAUUGAGUGAGAUCAGACAGUUUAAGUGGGCUACUCCUCUCUCGCCCAGUAUUCAAGCACUGAGUAAAAGUUAAUGUAUGGUAAGAUCAUGUCUGCCUUCGCUUCUAUUGGGCUGUCUCCUGGUCAACCUGUUACAUCACACACCAAAACAAUCAAAAACCAGGUUAGCGAAAGGCCAUCUUGUUGUAUGUAAACAGAGAACGGCUGACUACAACUGCAAAGGUCUGCACCUUUCAAACAAACUGUAGACUUCACCAUUAGUACAAACGUGAUGUCUGCUGUCUCUCAAGGCCAAAUGCGCUGACUCAUUUAUGCCAUUGAAUUGAAAGUACGGGUCAAAGUUUGGCAUGCAAACUGUGGACCAUGCACACAACACUGAGGCCAUUUGAACUUAGGUGCACACAUGUGAGAGAAAAUUGAUCCCCGACUGCUCGAUGUAAGCGAUAAAUUUAAAUUGGUGCGAUUUCGGACAGACAAGUUUGCAUAUGUUUUAAAAGUUUUUAGUCCAUUUUUAACAUAAUGUUGACAAACUGACUGGGACUGUAGCUGUAAGGAUAAGGUGACCACAGUCCCUGUACUGGAUGACCUGUUCCCGGCUAAAGCUGUCCCCGGAAAUGUCCCUGAUUUAAGCGUUUCAUGAAUGAGAACGAAAAUGUUGCAUGUAGACUAGAACCACGGUUAUUACGGUAGCCAAGUAGCACAAGUAAGCAUGUCGUGCGCAGUCAUGAACAACAGUUUUUACACAGGGUUAUUAUGGGGGGUGUGCGCUGCUACCAAGUUGUACCAAGUUGUUGUCUGUGAUCAUGCAGCCCACCUUAUGUUAGGGUCAGCUUUUAAUGUCCACUGUGUGCUCUAAAAAUAAUACAUAACACCUGUCCAUGUCAAUAUGUAAAUCUACGUCAAGCAGAGUGAAGAUCUGAAAUGUCAUCAUUGCAAUCGGACGCGACACAAGAGCAAACAACUUAAAGGACAAUAUGCUUAGUGAACUAGACCUUAAGAUGGCCCAGAUGGUGAGGGUAUAUCACACGCAACUUUUGGUGCUAGUUGUAGCCACAGUCCAAUCUUCGUGUCUUUAUCUGUUUUCAGCCUACAAAGGGUCACCUGUUGCUGAUUAGCCAUCAUUACAUUUAGGAUCAUGUAAUCAGCGGGCAACAAUAACCAACAUAGUUACAACUUCAAAAUAUGUUGUUGAAAAAUCCCAAACCCGCUUUUGUUAGCUUCAAUGUCAAAAUAAAAGUCUCUUUUAAUAAUAAAUUUUGAGGGUCAUAUCUGAGAUUGUUAGACCUUUAAAAAAGGCUAGAGCUUUGAAUUUCUGGAGAAGCACAGUCAGAGUAACUGCCUAAGAGUUUCUUAGCUGGGCUGCUUAUGCACCGAAUUUCAAGUCUGAUAAAAGGGAAGAAAAAAGAGUUGAGUUGCAAGUAUCAGAGUUACCUUAAUAUAUUACUGGCACUUCACUAGGAGCUAGUUAUACUUCCAAUUGGUGCAUUCAGUGAGAUGUAAAACACUUUGGAUAAAAGCUCCUGCCAAGUCACAUAUGUAAUCCAUUUUCUGUAAUAAAAAUAAUAAUCAGGGUGGUAUUUAUCAAAAUGUCAGCCACAAUGCCUCAUGGCCAAUAAAUUAAGACGUGCUUAAGAAAACAAAGUGGAGGGAUAGCUGUUUAAAUUCCACUCACACAGACUUCAGGUGAAUUUCACAGUUGAAAAGCUGAGGCUAUAAAGGGCAACUUUUUGCAAGCGCUGUCCAUAUCCCCUUAACUUACCGCUUAAAAAACGGAGGUUGUUAUACGGCCAUCAGCUACAGUUGCUGGAUCUUAUGUGCACAAACACGUUAUCCUCUUAGUAAUUUUUCGUAGAACACAUGCAGUCUCUCUGUGAAAUAAAAGGUUGUUUAUAGUUCAGAUAUAAGCCUCUCUUUACCCCUCCUUCAACUCUCCAUCACAGGAAACCAAUCACGAGUUAUGCUGCUUUAGCAACAAACCUCAAAAUGAAAACAUGUUUUCAGCUCCUGUGCCUGCAGGUUCACCUGUAUGUGUAUCUGUGCGCAUUAAGCACAUCACUUUUCUUUCCUACAGAACAGAAAUAAAUCGGCUAUUAUUUCCCAGCUCACACAAGUCUUGUUCUAUCUUCUUGGUUGUUUUUAAGUGUGUUUGCAGGCACUAAAUUGGGUAAAGACUUGAGAGUGUGUGUGCGUGUGUGUUUCCCAGGGGACCUCCACAGGCCUUAAUUGCAAUAGUGCUCUGCUUGCUGUGGUUGCCAUCGGUUACAAUCUGUCAAAGCCCUCGUUUGCAUCGGUUUAUGUCGGCGUCAAACCACAUACUCUCUGUGGCAAGCUGAGGAACACCUUAUCUGAUUCGGCAGGAAUUCACAACCACUUAGAUGCUCUCACUAAAGACCUGACAGUGGCUCAUUUGCUGUGUUUACUCUGUUCUUAAAUGAGUGCUGAAGCUUCCACAAGCCCUCAAUCUACACUGAAUACAAUUCGAUCAAUAUGGCAUCAUAAGUGUGAUUAACUCUGGUCUAUGAUGCAUUCUUCUGCCCACAUACAGACACACACAUAUGCUCAGAGGAGCAUUAGCAGGCUCUCUGUGUCUGUCCUUGACAGAAGAGGAUCUUGACUGAGGGAUCGGCUCAUUAUGCAAUAUCUCUCUCUAAGGGAUGCUUCUGGUUCCACUUCUUCAGCUUAAACAGCAGCAGCAUUCUUGUCUGCAGUUGUGCUGUCUGCCCUGAAUGAUCAAAAAUGAGGAUGGGAUUCUGAUGUAGUUACAUCUGUCUUUUCUAAGCAACCCAGCCCUCACAGAACUGUGUGUCUUAAAGGAACUGGAUACCAAGCUGGAGAGGACUGCUUUGCAUGUUGUGGUAGGGUUUUAUUAACUCCUAACACACCCUUAAAGGGAUAUUAAUUUAGGGUCAAACACACCUUAACAGACAGACACCCCGUCAAGAGGUGAAUGUUUUGCCGACCACUUGCUUCUUUUUUAUAUCAACUUUAGUAACCACCACAUGAUAGCAAUACACAGCGGUCUCAAUAGCCAUGCGCUUAAACAAAAAGCCACUCUAUAGCCACAAAUAACGCUCAGAACAGAAUCACCAAUACAUAUAGGGUACCAGCCAUAGCACUAGCCACCAAACAUCUUUUUAGCUUUGCCUCAUUUCUUUAGCAAAGAGACUAAACACAACUCACCUACUCACUUACAGCAGCAGCUUGUUUGUAUGGAGACCUCGGGCGAGUCCAAACUGACUGCUGCGGGUCGACGGAGCUCAAGGAUGAACAUUUAUGAUCAUUUCUUCAUGGAAAUGCAAUCAGACUGAGACGCUAAGGCAGAAGAACUACUGUGUCCGCAGUGCAAAAUGAUUAAUAUGAUAAUUAUUUCUUCAAGGAAAUGAUAAAGAAAUCAUCAUAAAUGUUCCUCCUUAAGCUGCGUCCAUCCGCUGCAGUCAGUGAUGGACUUGGCCAAGCUCUACCUACAAACAAGAUGACCUGAAUAGCACUUAAUGUUAUGCUGUACCGCUGAACUCUUGAGGACAGUUAACCUGCUCUGAUCUUACCUCUUUUUGUGAAUGUUAGUCUCAGAGAUAUUUUAGCUUUUAUUGUUCUGGGACGUUAUUGUGGCAACAGAUGAACACAGAACGUGUUUUGGUCGACAUCAUCCAUCUUGUAACCGAAAUAAUUCCAGAUAACUGACUUUCCUUUUCUUUUUGGCAACAAGUCUUCAUCUUCUGUGGUUUUCUCUGUUUGUUGCUCAGUUUGCGAUCGUUCGAGUUACCGGUGUUGUGCCGAGAAACGCAUGUCCUCCGAGAAUUGCAUGCACCUCACAAAAUCCGCACUGCUUAUAGUAGAGUGGUCCACGGAAAUGUACAAUUUAAAACCCAUACAGUUCUUAUUUGUUGGGCUAAACAGUGAUGAAGAAUGUUCCAAAAGUAAUUCUCAGCGGACACGCGUUUCUCUGCUCAACUCCGUAGCGCCAGUGACUCUCACUCCAUGUGCAGAACAUGUGCAGGGGUGGGUUUCCUCCUCUCUGAUUUUGAUUGAGAGCUGGCAGGGUAGUCUGAUUGGCAACUGAGUAAAGAACGAAGGUGAUUGGUGGAUCGCUGCACAGCACAUGCAGAGUCACAUGCAGUGUCUCUCAGUCAGUUACCCUUGAAAUUAACUGAGUUCAUUUACCUCCGACAUCGCAGGCUCUGCAAUGUGGCCAUUGCACACACGUACAUCGCGAUGACGAUGCUCAAACGAUAUAUUGUGCAGGCCUAGUGUGUAUGCACUCCAGUUGUGUGUUAUCAUAACAAGAAAAAGGUUAGCAUGAGUCCGACAAGAGCGGGGUUUCUAUUAUGUAUUUUGCUUGUGUUACAAAACCAAGGACUUCAGACAAGAAUCCAAUUAAUUCAGUCUGAGUGAACUGAACUAUGGCCUUGCGUGUCUUUAAGGGUGCACUUGCACACUUCAUCCUGCAGGUUCAUAUAGCACAGUGCACUUGGCUGUAAAAUACAAAGCUGUAUAUAACUGUGCUGCCACAGUGAAGAGGACUUUGUGCAAUUUACAUAAUGCAAAAACUCCAUAUGAAUGCAUGCAUAGAUUUUUGCUGAUGUAUUUCAGUGUGUGUGUGUGUGUGUGUGUGUAUGUGUGUGUGUGUGUGUGUGUGCGUGUGCGUGUGUUUGGAACAUUUCUCCUGUCUGCAACUGCACUCAAGGUUAAUGUAUACACCGAUAAUGGAGAUGAUGCUGUGUAAAGCGUCCUCACUUCUGUCUGGGAAUCGCAACUACAUUGCAUUACUGAGCUCAUCAGCAUGAUGGAACAAGCUCCUCAACAUCUCUUUACAGCAUGUCUGUACCCCCCCACGCACACUCUCUAUCACACACACACACACACACACACACACACACACACACACAACUACCUUUUAACAGGUUGACAGUAUUGUGCCAACACACUUCUGGUCCUUGAAUCUAUAUACUCAAUCACCCACAUUACCGGUGACCCCACAGGUCCCAUCCCGUGUAACACAGUUAACCUUGCACUAUUUGAACCGUAUUGUGACAUAGUAAACGCUGCCAACAGGUUUGCCACUUGUAUUACUGAUUUAGAGUGGGCACAGUUUCAUAUCAUUGCAAGUGGAGCUUAUUUUAAUAAAAACAUGCAGGACCAGGUUCCAAGAAGGAGCCAGUUCUACAUAUUCAAGACCCGCCCUGAGGCUGACGUUAGUUAAAAUGAAUAGUUAAAACCGUUCACUGCAACGCCUCUUCGGAGUAAACAUGGCUGGCAGACUUGACAGUUCGGCAUGCAGGUGAGCUAACCCAGAUUCUUCUUUCCAGCCCUGGAAACAAGUCUCUCUUCAUCUUGAAUUUUUUAAUUUUUUGUAUUUCAUUAAACUGCAAUUUAAAGCAAGGUGAGCUGAUUCUCAUACUUUCAUCUUCAGCGGGCUAGCUUGUAUCAUUGCCCAUUCUUACACGGUUUUCUUGCUGGUAUCUGGCUUGUGGUGAAUACUUGAUUCUGAUUGGUCAAAAACAUAGUUUUAAGGUCAUUAACUUUAAUUAGCAAAAGUGAUGCUAAGGACAACCAAAUCGCAGGUCACAUAAGAUGAAUUAGCAAGAAGGAGAACUGCACAUAUAUGACUUUGCCUUAUUCUGUUAGCAAUGUAACAUAUUGGUUUUGGACAGUCGUUAAGGUAAGAAUAGUAGCUAAUAGCUGUUUGGUCACCAGCAGAGUAAAGAUCAUGAAACCAGUGAAAGGGACAUCUCAGAAAAUUGAAGAAAACAGACUCAAAAAAACCACAAGACACAACAAAGAAUGAGCUUUCACAGUCUUCCAGGACUGGUUGGGUAAAAUAUAAAAAGCUAACAUGGAAGUUACAGAGAGGGAUACACAUGUCCUACAGUUAUUUUCUGCAUCUAGUGAUAAUACUUCUGGCAAAAGCACCGUGUUAGUCUGUUUUCGCAGUUUAGCUGGUAAGAAUACGGUUUCCAUGGACUCAUCUAUUGCAGAAUUGAGAGCUCCCAAACAUUGGCCAGAGGCCACAUCAUAUCAGACAACAGCUGAUGGGUUCUGACACCAUAUUUCAACACAAGAGAUAAACGUUUUCCUCUUGUGCGUGACACAGGCUGAUGUGUAUUUUGGUUAGAUCUUAAGCCUGUCAUAGUUGGUGCUCAUUGCUAUUGUUGGUGUUAAUGCACCGCACCAGAUGAAGGAUGGUGAAGGACGCUUGGCUUUUCCCUACCAUGGGCAUGCCUUGGGCAGUAUAAUGGAUAUGCCAAUGGGCGUUGCAGCCCCCCAGCUGCCCCUGAGGUUCUGCCCACCCCAGGGACAGACGGUAUCAAAUGGACCUGCAUGAACAGAUGGGGAAUAUAUUAGACAGGAAUGGGCCAGCAGAGAACGCUUGCCCAGCAGAUUCACAAAAGUAUAAUCAGAGCUGAGGGAGGAAAUUGUUAAAAAUAAAAGAGGGGAAAGGAGAGAAGGGAAGCAAAAAGAAUAUCACGAAGCCAGCAGGAGUGAGAAGAAUAGAGACAAAGUGGUUCAAUGUAUCUUCAGUACGUAUAUUUUUAGGCUGUCUGCAUGUACCGAGGCAUGGGCUCUGAUUGUAAUCGGAUGGGCGCUCAUAAGGGGGAUCAUCUCCCUGGAUGUAGAGACCUCUCUCCACUCUCCUCCCCUGUCUCCCUCUUGUCCUCCCAACCGUGAUGAAUCUGAUUGUCUCCUAACCAAAAAGCAUGCUGCUCAUUUUUCAAUGCCGCUAUCCCUCUUACUGCAAGUUUCAAGGGAACCCUCUCACGCUUGUUCCAUAUUAGAUGACACUCUUAAUCCAAUUUGGUCAGAAGUACAUUCCUUCGUUCUCCUGCAUCUCUUUCUGUUAAUAGUGUGUACUAAAGCCUGUGUAUGCCAGAAUGUACGUGCCGGACUGCAUUUGCAUGUGCAAAUUUGUGUGGGCGCAGGCAGAUGUGUGUCAUGUCUUUGCAGUGAUUAGCUUUAGCUGCCGGGUCUCUCAGGACUUGCGCUUCACUGUGUGUUCUGCUUGCCAAGCACAGUUAAGUCUACGCUCAAACUCCCAGUACUGUGCCACAGCAGGAGAAAUGAGUUUUUCUCGGCUGAUUUCUUGUGAAAGGGGCACACACACACAUACUUAUUCACACAUUGAUGCGGCUGUACAGCACCGGUCAAGGUGGAUUGCUUUAGGGUGUAUCUCACUGCAGGGUAUAAACAAAGUUUUACUGUGGGUCAGCUCGGAAUGACUUAAAGAAAGUUGAUAGGAUCAAAUAUGAAAAAAAAAAAAAAAACUAAUUUUCAACUCACAAGAGGUCCGAUGCUGAGGAACUUUACAUAAUGUGUGCCAACUCUUUUGACUUGCGUUCAGGCUACUAUGAAUUGCAAAUGAAAUAUAAAUCCCUCUGAGAAAAAACAAUAAAUAUAUAAAAUAAAGGAAGACUUUUUUUAGGCACUCGCUGUACUAAAAAGAUAAGUGUGGCUGACUCUGGCAGAGCUAUCACUCUGAGCCGUCAGUCCCUGCUGGGUUAGGGGCGACAAGCCUGUGCUGGUUACUACAGUCCAGUGGUUGCAUGCUAGAUUAGCCUGGCAUAGCCUGUAUACAACUCCAUUUUCUGUAAUACAUUAUCAUUACAGAUAUUGAUGUUAUCAGUGAUCACUGACGGACUUCUAGUGUGAAUUGUGUUAGAGCAAUUACAUCAUAAUUGUUGAGAAGGCAAGAGGUGUUUUUUUUAUUUUUGUUUGUUUCCUCUAUCAUACUUUGUAAAAACAGCCCAGUAUUAGCAAAUAAAUGCAACACAACAUUAUUCGGUAGACUUAUCCAUGCUAUUCUGUUUUCAUUAAAAGGGUCUGUGUCGGUCUAGUGUGCCUGACUGCUAAUGUGUAUGUUUGUCUAAUGCAGUGGUUCUCAAGUCCAGACACACCUGAUUCAAAUCAUCAGCUCGUUAUCAAGCUCUGUAACGGCUUAAUAACGAGCUGAUCAUUUGAAUCAGGUGUGUUGGAGCAGGGAAACAUCCAAAACAUGCAGGACAGUGGGCCUAGAGGACUGGACUUGAGAACCACUGGUCUAAUGGACAUCAACAGACACCCCUGUUUACCUUCAAGGUCAACUGGACUUUGCUUUGGAUAGAUGACUACAACUGCUGUCUUUUAACUGUUGUAGCAUUUAAACCUUCUUUUUAUUUGUACAAAAGUUAAAAAAAAUAAAUAAACUGACAGAAACUUUGAGGAUUCAUUGACAGAGAGAUAAUGCAAAAUAAGCUCUGAUGUACGGCACUGUGUGAUUGACUGCUGCUUGUGUGGCUUUCAGACCAAAUUAUUGAUAGAGGUCAGUUUUGCUACAGAAUUAAUCGGCCAUAAUUCAUUCAAAACUGCCAGAUGGGUGCUGACUUCAACCUAAAUAAAACACAAAUUGUCAUCACACACUAUGCCUGGUUUCAAGUCUUAUCAGUAGUUUCUUGCAAUUUCCAAUAUCGAUUUGAAGAUUCCUUUGUACUACAAAUUACAGCAUCAGCUUGUAAGUGAACCUCACAUGAAGAAGACAUUUGUUCUUUUAAUCAAUCAUCCAGUUUUCAUUCUUUAGAAAGCUCAAAAAUCAAACAACAAAAGGAAUCAACGUUCAGUAAGAAAUCUUAAAGGACGUCACCAAAAGUCAAAAAGCCAACAAUUGUGUAUGAAUAUGUAAGUACUGCAGUUUGAAGUGGUUGUGACAUGGCUUAUGCAUUAAACCUGAGCAGUCUGCAUUAAAUCAAGACCCCUACAGACCCUGAUAAAACUAUUAAAACUCAAGUGAUAAACUGUACAGCCAAACUUUCAAUGUCUUCAGGGCUAGAGGAGACCAGUAGUAACCACAAACUUUGUCCAAACUCUGUAAAUCUUGACCUUUUUUUCCUGUGAUUAAGGGCCUGACAAACACUCGGUCCUUGUAUGAAUCAUUUAUGGAGAGGUCACUGCAGGUCCUCUCGCUUGUUUUGAUCACAGUCUUCUGUGUUUCACCACACUCGAGGGCCCUCCAGCUAUUUAAGAGCCUCCUUUUGCAACCAGGGUUUUGCUACAUGUCACAACAGAGCAACAGAGGCCUAAUACCGUUGAGGAUGCGUCAGCGCCCUUGUUUAAUGUAGUCUACAUGAUAGAUUUUUCAUAUUUCAUGUUUGAGAGAUGCAUGAUGCAGAAAUAUUGCUUCUGUUUGGACAUCAGGUUCUAUUUGAGAAGCUUCUGAGAGCAGAGACUCUAAACGACGGGAUGAAAUAAGACAAAAUAAACAGUCUGCUCAUUUCACAGAGCUUCUCUCCAUGGGGAAAAAAGAGGAAGAUACUGCUUGUGAAUGUUACACCCUGACUAAAUUGAUUUGGGUUUAGGUUGAAGGUUUUAUCAAAGCUCUAAUCCUCAGAGGAGAGGAUAAGUCUAAUCGGAGUGUUUUUCUGUUGGGAUUAGUGGCAGCCCGCCUCUUCUUCUCACUUUCAUUCUCAUAGAUUGCUUUCUAAAAUACAGUUUUGUUAUUUCCACUUUUGUGCAUUUUUCCAUCUCGUACUUUUUUUCCCUACCCUUUUCUUCAAAUAUCCCUGUUUUAUUUCCCUUAUUUUUGCUUUUAUAUAUCUUAUUCAAAUGUAGUUGUUGAAGUGUUUUGAGUGUUUCGUUAUUUCGUGUUCCCGCAAUACAACUGAAGCUAUUAUAUCUAAACUGUGUGAAGCUUUGUCAUAUUUCAAACAUGCCUAUUUUCUCCUGAAAGCUUUAUUUUCCUCUCUUAUUCCAUCUGAUGUAUCUUAUAUGUGCCCUCUCUUUCUUCAUGGAUGCGCAGUCUUUAGAAAGAGCCUGUAUGGGGAAUGAUCAUUUAGGUGAAAUGUCUUUCUAACAAGCUGAAAACAAGCUCUUUAUGGAGUUGGAUAACAAGGUAAUGGUGCUCAAGUCACAAAGGAGAACAACCUUCAGUCGUUUAAAAAGGUUGUAUAUGCCAGGUUCAGGCAUUAUUUGGUUUGAAUCUACAAUAGAUGGUUUGUGAACAGCUGUGGGCUGACAAGAGAAAAAAGUCACUGCAUGUACAAGAUCAUCCUCAGGAUGUCAUUUUCACACCGUAACAAAUCACCACGAGAGCAGAGGGGGAAAUGUACCAUGAUCUUAGAAGAUAUUCUUCAUUCUAUCGGUCUUGGUUUCAACACUAAUGGUUUGAAUUCAAGGCACUCACACUGAUUCAUUUCUCAAUAUUACCACUAAAUGAUGCAAUUUAUAUGCAUUAAUUGUUGCAUGGUUUGAUUUGAUUCUGCUCUGUUGCAACACAAAAUGCUGUACUGCACAACAAUACGAGGGUUUCUAGCAUUGUCAUAAUAUAAAAUCUAAAUUUAAUCCAUUUCUAUUACUCCAUGAAAACAAAUUAUUAAUGGUUCUCUGCUAUACCAUAUUGGCGGUUUACACACACAAAUACAUACACACACACACACACACACACACACACACACACACACACACACACACACACACACACACACACACACAAAUACAUACACACACACACACACACACACUUUGGCUUUAAUAAGCAUGUCUACCUGCUUGACUGUGAGUUUCAACUGAUGAUGAGCUUAGCUUUAGUCCAACAUGAUCAAAAUAAGUUUAUGUCUGAGAUUUGUGGUCAAAAGGGCAACUGUAAAUCCUGUAACUCCCCCAAAACAACCAAAAACUAACCAGAAGCCCAGUUAGUGCCAAGUUAAGUGGUUGACAUUUGACAAAUUAAUUUCUGAGUGAUACCUCUUCUGUAACUCUCUUCAAGGGGAAGAGGUAAUGCCUGCUGCUCACAUAUCACAAAAAAGCAGACUCAUAUUUGUUUUUUCAGUGUUUGUUAUUUUACUCUCAAGAAAUAAUGGAAUAAGAAUCAAUAGUUAAUUAAAAAAAAUCUUUAUGUGGGAAUGGAAUUGGACUCAUCAUUUGAAUAAAGGUAGAAAGAGCUGAAACUGUACCCAAAGUUUUCAUGACAGAUGUGACAAAAGCAGCUUUUUAAGAUUAUUUUUAUUUUUUUAAAGAAACAUGCGUAAUGGCAGAACUUUGAUGUGCAGGGGUUGUGGGGAUUUGCAAUUGUUCAUUCAUUUUUUUUUAAUUUAGGAGACAUUUUGUGUUGUGUGGAGUCUCCCCCUUCUCCCCACAGAGAUCGGGGGGACUCCUCUCUUGGUAUGGCUCCUCUGGCACUUUUGCACCUGCCCCUGAUCACACUAACCACUGUCUGCACUUAAGAGCUGCAGAGACACUCCUCAGCACCACAUGAUUCCAGCUCCUCUGUGGUAUCCAGGCCUACAACUUGCAAGUAUCGCAAGUUUGUAUGAUCUCUAGUAAUUGUCCUCUACCUAUUGCUCUCCUCCUUUCUUUCCAGUGCCUCCACAAGCCUCUCGAGCCAAGCUACAAUCUCUGCCACGCUGCCACAAUUCUCACAUUGGAUCACUCACCUACCUUCUUAGCCAACUCAUUCACCACUAAUCCUCACCUUACCUUAGAGCUUCAUCGCACCCCAGACUUUGGAUUCCACCCCCCCACCCUUCACCAUUAUUGCAAAUAAACCAUUCAGAACUUGUUUUGCCUCCUGUCUGCUCUUGGGUUAAGCUUAAAACUUAUCAUUAAGAAAACGUAACAAAGGUUGAGCUACAGGCUAAGCUGAUUUAACCCUUGAUUAUAACCAAGAUAAUAAAAAAUAAAAUAAACAGUGAUGCUUAAGGUUGCAUUUGAGUGUGUUUGUCUGUUUAUGUGUGCAGCAAGGAGAGUGCCCAUCGGAGCGAGUAUGCAUGAUGGAGAGCUUGAUGUCAGCCUUCAGGCUGGAGUUUUUGGAGGUCAUGAUUCCUGGACAGUUUGAGCAUAAUACAGCAGUACAAUUACAACCAAGUCUAAGCAGGCAGAAUAAAUGUACUCUAACUGUGCUCAACUAUUUGCACCUGUGAUUUGCAAUGAGACUUACACUUUCUGUGUACUUGACAGUGAUUCCUUGUUUCAUUUGCACAAGAUUAGCAGGUGCAUAACCUGCAUAAUCUUUUACUGAAUGAGGCUUCAAGUCUGCUGUGCCAAAGAUGAGGUGAUUUGCAAUUUUUCAAUCACUUAAUUGAGUUACAACUGCCUGGCUUAAAAAAAAGGCGCGACCAAAAAGAAAAAAAAAAGGUCACACACUGUAAUAUUUUGUUGGUCCGCCUUUAUAUUACAGCAUGAGUUCUCUGUGGCAUUGUUUCGAUAAGUUUCUGCAAUGUCACAAGAUUUAUUUCCAUCCAGUGUUGCGUUAUUUUUUCGACAAGAUCUUGUAUUGAUGAUGGGGGAAUCUAACCACUGCACAAAGCUCUCUCAAGCACAUCCCAAAGAUUCUCAAUUGGGUUGAGGUCUGGACUCUGUAGUGGCCAAUCAAUGUGUGAAAAUGAUAUCUCAUGCUCUCUGAACCACUCUUUAACAAUUUAAACCAGAUGAAUCCUGGCAUUGUCAUUUCAGUAAAUGCUUGAGACAUUAGGGAAGAAAAAAUCCAUUGAUGGAAUAACCUGAGCAUUCAGUCUAUUCAGGUUGUCAGCUGACCUCAUUCUUUGGGCACUUAAUGUUACUGAACCUAGACCUGACCGACUGCAGCAACCCCAGAUCAUAGCACUGCCCCCAUAGGCCUGUAUGGACGACACAAGGCAUGAUGGGCGCAUUACUUCACCUGCCUCUCUUCCUACCCUGACGUGCCCAUCACUCUGGAAGACGGUAAUUCUGGACUCGUCAGACUACAUGACCUUCUCCCAUUCCUCCAGAGUUCAAUCUUUAUGCUGCCUAGCAAACUAAAGCCUUUUUUUUCCAGUUGGCCUUACUGAUUAGUGGUUUUCUUAAGGUUACACAGCUGUUCAGUCCCAAUCCCUUCAGUUCCCCUCACAUGAAAUGCUCUUUCUUUUCACUAUUAAACAAACCCCUGAGUUCUACUGUUGUUUUUCUUUGAAUUGAUUUGGCCAAAUGUUUUAACUGAUCUCCAAUCACUACCAUUUGGGAUUGUUUUCCAACCACAUUUCUCCCUGUUAGACAAUGGUUCUCCACUAUCAUUCCAGUUUUUGAUAAUGCGUUGGACAGUUCUUAACACAAUUUUAGUAGUUUCUACAAUCUCCUUAGAUGUUUUCUCAUGCAUGCAAAUGAUUAGACCUUCUUAAAGAGACUUAUCUUUUCCACGACCACAGGAUGUGUCUUUUGACAUGAUUGUUUAUGAAAUGAGAAGUUACUCAUUGCAUCAGCUGGAGUUAAAUAACUUGGUGCCAGCUGAAAGAUAAUCGCCCAUGCAGUAAUUGUCAAAUAGAAGGCUCAUACACAUUUGCUUUUAAAUUCAGGUGGUGACUGUUAUUUUUGUUGGGCAGUGUAAUUUUUCAACCAGUGCAAAAUCAUCUGCCAAUAUAGACUGAGUUUUCACACUUAACCCAAGCUUGAAUGUAUAUUUAAUUUCAUAAAAUCACCACCUUGUCAGCAAACGAAUCUUGUAAAUUGAAGUUGAUUGUUGUAGUUUGCACCGAGUAAGUUUAACUGGAAUUUAAUAGUCUGCAAUGUCUGGAUUUCGACACAGUGAAUCACCGUUCCUCAAUGUGUAGCAGCUGAACAUCUGAUGUGCUAACAAGAUUGUCUUAAAGCUGCCAAAAAAGGUAAUAAAACACAUUUACAAUGAGAUGAUCAUUUUCCCCAUCAAAACACUAUUCUUUGUUGCUAAAACAAACACUGCACCUUGUUGUAAACUGCACCAUAUCUAUCUCGGAGCAGAAUUGGCUGUCAACAGAAGCGUCUUGUUAUGAACACCUGUUAGAUAUAGACGAGAUGGAGCAGGAAAUUUAUUUUCAUAUGCUGCGUUUUGAGGAAAUUCACCCCAUGAAAGAAUUCAUCGUACCAUGACAAAGUCAUAAACUAGCUCAGGAUGUCAGUUUGUCUGCUCUUCAUAACAAUGAGGGAUGAAAGGGCCGUCUGAAAUCUUGAUAAAUUGGCAUUAUUACAUCAAACUGUUUACAGCUUUGAUGUUUCUUUCUGUGAAGCCGCAAAGAAAACAAAUUCAGAAUGAGUAAUGAAGCAGUGACAUGUCAAUUUAGGUGAGGCACUGAGCUAUUGUAAUCAUUUAAUCACAACCCAUCAGACAAAUCAUAUUUAUCAGGCAAGAUAGCACCAGCGCUUUAUAUUCCUGCCCCUCACUCUUUCAGUAUGGCGUAAUCCAGAAAAUCACUUGAGCGGAUUAUUAUGCAAUCCAAUUAUGGUUCAUAAUCUGAGCCUAGAAAGAGUUUUUGUGCGUCUUUGCUGUCUGACUGCAAGAAAGUCCUUUUUAUCUUAGUUGCAAGGCUGAGUUAUAUUAUUUGUUGUAUAACACUGGAGUGGGUGGAGAACUUAGCAUGGGAAUGUCUUUAAAAAAGAAAUAGACCAGACAGACAGCAGACAGGUUUUGGAGAACAAAUCAACAAAAUAGAUGAAAAUCCACUGAGAGGAACAGCUCAAAAAAAAUUGGCCACAGAAGGCCAUUGCUGAAAUAGCUGGCUGUUAACAGAGUGCUGUGUAGAAGCAGAUUCAUGGAAAGAUGACUGGAAGGAGGAAGUGAGGGAGGAAAAGGUGACCGAGCAAAACAGGGAUAAGCGCUGCUUUGAGAGAACUGCCAAACAAAGAUGAUUUAAGAACUUGAGGGAGCUUUACAUGGAGUGGACCGAGGCUGAAGUCAGAGCAUCAAGAGCCACUACACACAGAUGUGUCCAGAAAAUGGGCCACGUGUGUUAGGUUCCUACUGCCCACCUGCUCCUGAGCCAGAGACAACCCUAUAAGAGUUUGACCCGGGCAAUGAAGAGAGGGAACUGAACAAAUGCUGCAAGCUGAUGAGCCAUCCAAUGUGCCCCUCUGAUUGUCAUUGGCACUUGGUCAUGUCAAUCAUUCCGCUGGUUACAAAGCCAAGCACUAACUACUGAUUAAGAGUAUAGAAUAGUGCUGUUAUUGUUCUCAUUUGGAGUGGUACUUAUUCUGCAUAAAACUAAUUACAAUACAAAACACUGAAACACUCUUUAACGUUACUUCAUUUUCUUGCUUGUGUUGGCGGUCAUGGCCAAAGAAGGAUUCAGACAAUUUUCCAUACUUUCUGGUUAGUUUAAAAGAAAAAACAAAAACAAAAAAACUUACAAGUAGGAUUACUGCUGCACAUCCCUGCAAUGUACUGCAAACGCAUACUCUAAAUAGCAGAGGAAAUAAAAGCCCUCUCAACUCAGGUUUUAGUCGUUCUCUGGGAUAAAGCUGUCUUCUGCAUCCUUGAGAAUCUGUGCAUCUGCUGUAACAACAAUGUCUCAUCCAGUCAUCACUUAAGGUCAAAGGAAGGUUUGUUCUUAUGGUUUCAGAGAAAGAUUGGUUCCACUUCUGAAAACUCAGAAAGAUAAUGCUCACCAACUAGAUUUGAUUCCUUCUAGACAAAUCAGGCUAUCUUUUCCCCCCCAAAUACUCAGUCUUCAUGCUAUGCCAGGCAAAGCCACUACUGGGUGUGUUUUUAUAUUUUAUUCACAGAUAUGUCAAAAGUGAAAUCAAUAUCCUUACCUCACCCCUUGGCUAGAAUGUGAAUAAAUGCAUUCUCAAAAGUGAAAAACAAAAACCCUUGGAGAAUGAGGGUCGUGACCUUCCUCUGCUAGAGCUGGAAAAAUAGCCACAUUGUAACCAACAUGUUUUCAAAACUCGGACAGCAUAGAUAAUAUUGACUGAUUGAAAGACAUGAACUUGUGUAAACUUACUUUCCUGUUUUUACAUAUUCUAGCUGACAUUGAAAAUAGUUAAAUUGAAAACUGUAGGCUACACAGAAAACUUGAAUGAAUGAAACUGAAAAAAAUAAAAAUGUUAUCAAAAAAGAUGAUGAAAAAGAAGUCUAAACUAUACUCUUUAAAUGAUGUCAGAAAGACCAGUGCCUUCAUAACGUCUCAAACUAGAUAUAUGACAAUAGAGCCUAUGAGGAAAAGGCAAACUGUUUUCUUAUGUCUGUGAAAUCAAAGUCAAAACUGUUAUAUACAAAUCCAAAACUGUUAUAUGACAGCAUUAACAAAUUGACAAACUGAUUGACAAAUAAGAGCAGUGGGUGGGCACAGCUUUAGUGGUCUUAAUUCAGUCAUUUAUUUUAUUUGAUAUUAUUGGAAGUUUCAUUAUAUCGCAGGUGUGAUUUAACUGUUUGUUAAUAAACCAAAUCACUUCUUGCAAGUCUGAAUAUGGCUGACAGCAAUGUCGCUGUGCUUUAAGGAUGCUGAUGAGGUGUCUUCUAUUCAAAACAUUACCAAAGGUGGCUAAGCUAUAAAGUAUCUCUUUGUGAGUAAUACUUAAAUGAAAGAAAAUGUUGAUAAUAUGCUAUCUGUCCAUGAAACCGUCCGUCUUCUCUUACAAAUGUGGUGCCAGGAAGAUUAUUUUCAAAGACACGAGCCUAAGAUACAAAUAAAGCACACCUAUGAGAUACUAAAUCACACAUGCGAGAUACUAAAUUGCACGUGCUAGAUAGUAAAUGCAAGUGCGAGAUACUAAAUCGCAUGUGUAAAUUAAAUUUAAAAAAAAAAAAAGAAAGAAAAAAAAAGUUAAUGAUACAGUCUGUGACUGAAAACUGGGGGACUUUUGGCACAUUGCUGUUUUAUGUUAAAGGGUGACACAUUUUGGUCUUUAACAAUUCUCCUGUUUUCAUUUUUGUUUUUUAGGAGUCCACUGGUGGAUGGAAGUCACUACCUGAAACCCUGAGUUCACACAAUCCAAGUUGGCACUUUUUCGCUGACAGUGUUAAAGGGAGUAUUACUGACGACCCGACCGGUUCAUCAUCUAGAGAAGCAUAUAUUCAUAACCUGAUUUGAUUCAAGCAUUCAAAAAAAGAGAUCAACGACAGAAAAACAGCACGCAAUACCAUAAAGGAAUACUAAGAAACAUGCACACACAAUAAACCCGGUUUGCUAGGAUACUUGAAGACAUCAGCUUUUUCCCACAGCAUAGACAUGGAAUAUCAAAGCUUCUGAACACUUCACUUUAACACAGUGAUCAAAACAUCGUCAUAUCUAGUUGUAUUGUACUUUUACAUCUUCACAAGACACACAGCAUACAUCACCAUAGGGCUAUAUGGCAGACUCGCACUAUUCAUCUUAAUGCUACAAAUACCUAUCUUUGAUUCUGAGGAUGAUGUAUUCAACUGUAGAUUUCUCAAAGGAUCCCCCACAGAGCUCUGAUCUGAAAAAAAAAAAAAAAAAAAAAAAAAAACUUUCCCGGUCUACUAUCUUAGGGCUUAAUUAGAAGCAGAAAUGUUCAAAUCUAGCAAAGUGCCUCCACCAAUUCAGCAGCCAAGACUGUCUGAUAGAAAUACUGUAAAGCUAGUUUUACCACUGGCCAUAUAUAACGAGAGAGAGAGCGCAAAAACUCCUCAGAGACCACAGUGAUUCUGAGCCUCAGUACCCCCGCUGGCCUGGGAUGAAUUCCCGACAGAGAUCUUUGGGUUGUAUCUUGUCUCCAGUACUCCUUCUUUUCCCUCCCACUCUUCAAAAACUGUGAAGAGACACCAUAAAGCCAUAAAAUGAAGGGUUGGAGCUCUGAAAAAUAAUGCUAAAAAGAGUGUAAAAAAAAAAAGAAAAGUGCACUUUGUUGAGUGAGGCACACUGAUUCUUUCACACACUUAUUUGCAGGCCUUUUUUUUUAAUAAGAAUCAGGGUUGUUGAUGGCUGUGCAUGGAGAGACUGCAGCAAAUGGUGGCACCAAGAGGACUGGUUCUUUCAAGUUUCAUGGCGUAUGUCAGUAACCUGCCACUCCCUCCCCAGAGAUUUAGAGUAGUGUUAGCAUCUUUGGUCUGAUUAUUAAAAAAGGACUUGUCUUGUUUUACUCUGUGGGAAACAAAAGGGUUCACUUUAAUCACAAGUGUUGACCAUAGAAUCUAUAAAACAUGGACAUAGUCUCAGGGAUUUCAGAGUUUGGAAAAACCAAGGUUGGGGGUCGCCAUAUUGGAAAUACAAGAGGUUAAGAGGCUUCAAGCCUGUUAUUCAAGUCAGCCACAACCAAAAUUAUGGCUAAUAGCAAAAAAGUAAAUCAAUGAAAUUAAAAAAAAUCUUAAUACCCUCUGAGGGAGUUUGAAUAAUUUGCCAAUUUAGUGUGUGCAAAUAGAAAAGUGGGUUAUUCCAUACAACAGGCUGUAAACCAGGUCUCAUUUAGCUGCUGGUUCCAGGUUUGACUUUAAACUAUGACACAUUUUGGCUUCCGUCACCUUUGAGCCCUUAUUGCACUUCUUAAUUAAUGUAUAGUUUUAGUAAAAAGAGAAAGAAAAACAUUUAGUCCAGUUAGAGUUGAUGAAAAGUCACAACAUUUUAAUUUAAUUUUAAUCAAUAAAAUUGUUUUCUAUGACUUCAAAUUAGUUUAACUAGAAAUUGUUAUUUAAGUUGUUUUUAAAUAUGCAUUGUUUCACUCUCUUGGAGCUAUAACCUGUGAAAAAUCAAGAUUCCUUACCUUAGUUUGAUGAUUUAGUUAUGCUUUGCAAGAAUACAAUGCUGGUGCCUGCUGAUCCAUCAAUGUGGUACGGAGGAAUAAUACUCCAAGUUAAAACCAAAACACUCUAAAGCAACCACGGCUAUCGGAACCCGAAAACUCAGCCCCUUAUGCCCUGAAUUUCAUUAGCAUUAUUAUCAAUGCACCACUAAUGAUUUCUACUCGCACUGUGUGAGCACAACAACACACAAUGUUAUUUUCAAUUUGUUUUGAGUCAUCAAUGAGUGCAUCCAAGAAACGCCCCUGGACAAGUGUGCUGGAUGGCUCCAAGGUGCAUCUUCACCUUUGAUGAUCAAGAGUUGAACAGGACAAUGGAAGAUCCUACCAUAUAGAUGUUUGUGGGUCUUCAGACUAGCAUAAACAGGGUUUGGACACUGAAAAAUGAGGAAUGUCAAAUAUCAACCUGGUGUGGUCAAAGUUUGUAUAACAAAAAAUAAGAGAGACACCAAGGCAGAGAGGACUGUGGGGCAGUUUUGCUUAGAUAAGUGAAAAAAUUACAGCUGCACUCCUGAACUACCUCAAACUGUUACAAGAAUGGUUGUAUUUUGAGUAAUUUUGGGAAAGAUAUGAUGGAUUUUUGAAGCCCAACAGUACACCUUAAACAUUAUUGUUUUAUCAUCUCAUGAACAAAAGAAAAACGUAUGUGAUAGAUGUUUUUUUUUUUUUUUUUUAACAUAAUAAAUGAAGACUGCUGUUAACAUGUUUAUCUUUGUAAAGAUAAACAUAUUCACAUUGGUGUUAAUGCGGUUUUCUGGGAUUUUGGAGACAGCCUCAAGUGGACACUCAGGGAACUGCAGCUUUUCUCACUUUUGAUUUGGCUUUAUAUUUUAAAACAUGUGGUUGUGCCUUGGUUGAGACUGUUAAGUUUUGAUAGUUUCUGUUUGCCAACUCCCGUUUUCUCUCCAGUAUCACAGGGCCGCUCCAGGAAACCAACAUUAUGAUGGUCAUAUGCUGGACCCACAGCUUUACACUGUAAAGAAACCGGUAGGGUCAUCACUAUUAAUCUAAAGUGUAUAUUUAUUUAUGCUUCAAAGGUUUGGCUGAAAUCAACAUCAUGUCUCCAGCUCUGGAUUUUGUUUUGUUAUAAAAGGCAUAAAUUGAGAUGCUAUUGGGGGCACCAUUGAGAGGCGGCUGGAUCACAGCAUGUAAACCCAAACACCCACACUCUUGUAGCAUCCAAUUAAAUUGUUUUGAAGUUCAGGGCUUCUGCUUUGUUUUGGUGUGCUUGUUUUUUUUUAUCCAGUUGUGACACUGAAUGCGGUAUCAUUAGCGCCGUUUCUGUUCAGGACUGCUCAUUCUAUUCAUCUCUCUUCAUCAGUCUUUGUUCCUCAUCUUUCCCCCAUCUUCCUUUUUCCUUCUCCUCUGCUUUCAUCUAACAUCAGAGGAACAAAGUUGGAGUUUUCAACCUUAUCUUCUACUUUUUUCUUUGACUUUUCCACCCAAAUACACAACCAUGAUGGUUAAGCUGUUAAGUCUGUCAUGUUUUUUUUUUUUUUUGCUCUGACUUCACAUUUCAACUCUUUUUCUCAUUUUUCCACCAAUUUUGGCUUCUGACUUGUGUUUUCAUCUGCUCUCUCUCUACCUGGCCAGCAUUUUGCAGUUUUCUUCUCUACCUGUGUGUGUGUGUGUGUUUGUCCCUUUAUCUCCCACCACUCCAGACCUCUCUCAUAUGUUCCAAGUAAUGAGGUCUUGCUUUCAGGGCAGCACAGCCAUCUACCUUGGAAGGAAUAAACAACCAAUCAUACAUCAUACCUGGCCUGACCCUCAACCUAUCAGAUACCAGAUCAAAGCAGGAAGUGAAGGAGAGGGGAUGCAUCCUUUCGCUAAAGAUGGACCAUCAUUAGGGGAGACAAGAUGAAGGAUAUGUGCAUGAUUUCUGGUGUGUGGCGCUUAGUGUGCAGAGAAAUACU